CCUACAAUAUGAAUUACCAGAUACUACUAUGCUUGAUACUCUUCUCCCUAGUCCUUCUCCUGCCACUGCCAUCCCAUUCUGCUGAUCCAAGCCCAUUGCAAGAUUUCUGCGUUGCAGAUCUUGAUUCCUCUUUAUACAUUAAUGGCUUUCCGUGCAAAAACCCUGAUAACGUAUCUUCACAAGACUUCUUCGCCAAUGGGUUCCAACAAAGUCCAGGAGAAUUCAAUAUUUUUGACGUCAAUGUCACUCGCCAAGAUGUUCAGCGAUUUCCAGGACUCAACACUCUAGGGCUGUCAAUGAACCGAGUGGUUUUGAAGCCUGGAGGGCUGAAUGCACCCCACGUCCACCCUCGUGCAGCCGAGCUGGCUCUAGUCAUGGAUGGAAAACUGUUUGUAGGCUUUGUGACAACCGGAAACGUUUUCUACUGGAAAAUUGUGACUUCAGGAGAGUUGUUUGUGAUUCCUCCUGGGCUAGUGCACUUCCAACUGAAUAUUGGACACGAGAACGCACGCUUCUUCGCCUCGUUCAACAGUCAAAAUCCAGGGAUUCAGUUCGCCCCCCUUGCUCUUUUUAACUCCACGCCUUCGAUUCCUGAUCUCGUGUUGAGUAAAGCAUUUCAAGUAAAUCAAAGUAUCAUUGAGCUCAUUAAGUCUAGGUUUGCAACUGUGUCGACUGUGUCGACCGUGCUUAAGUCAUCUUACUAACAUCCUAUUCCAGGGUGUUGUUCAUUAUAGUUGGCAUAUUAAAUAAUAAAAUCUUCUAUAUUAUCGUUUAAUUGUAUUUUGGUCAAGUUAAUUUUUAGUAGUUUUAUUGGCGUCAAAUUAGGAUAGUUUUACUAUUUAGAAACUAGUAUUGUAUUAAGUAAUUUCCUAUGCUUGUCAGUAGUCAUGAUAUGUAUUUGGUUGGAAACAAUAAAAGUUUGAGUCUUGUCAUUGAUAUUAGUCCUCUUCAUGUAAAUUAGCCUCCAUAUAUAUAUAUAUAUAUAUAUAUAUAUAUUGGUUUUGCGAAAGUUAUCUCCUAUAAUUUUUUUUUGGGUAUAAUUAUUAGGCUCUACAUCUGGUAUCGAAUCCUAUUUGCAUGAAAUUAAUCUUUGGGUGAGUUGUCAGAGUUAGGACACAAGAAUUGCCGGGACUGUUCAAUUGAUCACGUAAGGCCAUUAUGUUGGUUUUGGAGUAUUUAAUUGGUCAAAAUUAGGCCAUAAAAUUGGUGUGAAAAUUAUUAACUUGAUUGUGGAUAUUGCUAAUGGUGACAGUUUUUGACAUGGUACGUAAACGCGGCACAAAAAAUCCUAAAUGAAACAUGAUACGGAAUAAUUUAUGUCAAAAAUGGAUCCACGCAAACAGAAUGGGUUGUAUUGGGCCAAUCCAUAGGUUGAUAUGACUAACAUGUUUUUGACACGUUAAGAAUUUUGAAAAAAUGCUACUUGCUUCCCUCCUAAUACUGCACUUAAAAUAAAUGGUUUUGUAUUAAAUUUUAUAGUUUAAGAACUAAAAUAAUAUAAUCAACCUCCUAUAAGAAUACAUAAACAACACAUAAAUCGAGACUCUGCAAAUUCACAUAUGCAACUGUUAUGAUUUUAAUUUUUUGCUUCCUUCCUUUAAUAUUCUUAUUUUCUCAAAUUGACAAGCAUAAACAACCUCUAUGAUUUUAACUUUUCACUUCGAAACUUACCUUUAGAUCAAAUAUUGCUCAAUUUUUCUUCCUUUCUUGUGAUUAAAUAUCUUUUCUAGGUAAACUUUAAUAUUUCACAAAUUUUCUAUCAUUUUUGUCUAUUUUAUUUGAACAUUUUCUAGUUUAUACUGCUCCUCUAUUUUAUCAUUUUCCCUAUCAUUUUCUUUCUAAAGUUUUUCUUUCUUGUGAAAGAAAAAAGAAAGAAAAACAAAAUAGGCUUUUUUCUGUAUAUUAUUAAUGAGAUAAUCAUGCAUCCAAAACUUAUACAAGUAAAAAUCCAAUGACAGGCUACAACUAAAUUAGAUUAAGAGAAUAUUACAUAUUUUCUUGAAAGAGAACCAUGUUUUAUUUUUCGGCAAUAUUUCUCCUAUAAUUUUGAUAUAAAAAGUUAAAUGAGUCAAUUGGGUCAAAACAUGAGAUGAACCUGUCCAAAUGUAUGGAGUAUUGCAGCAACAAAUCUUUUUGAAGAUUAAGAAUUCAAAUUUAUAUUAAUGAAAUUUACAAAUGAGAUUAUUAUUGCUGAACUUGAUUCAAUAGAGAGUUUGAUUUAAGGGAAACAAUGUUGGCAUAUUAAAUUAAAGCUAAAAAUUUGAAUUUUCUAUACUAUUAUUUAGUAGUAUUUUGGUCACACAAAUUUUUUUAGUAGUUCUACGAGAGCUAAGAUAUGGUAGUAUAUUUAAGAAUUGGAGGCUCUAGGACAUAGAGGUUCUGGGUUCAAAUCUCCAUUCCUCCUCCCCAUUUCUUAAAUCCUAUCUCUCCCCUUGAUUAGAAAAAGUUAAAAUAAUUAUUUAGAAAUUGGUACUGUAUUAGAUAAUUAUUGUAGCUAUCAAUACUUGUUUAUCAAAUCAUGUAAUCUGUAAGUAGAGUCAUAUUACCAUACCCACUUGAGAAGAUUGGAAGUUUAAUAGCCUUGUUGUUGUGGUGUUAUUAAUAUUUUAUUAUUAAUAUCAUUGUUCUUUUCUCACAUAUACGUGUAUAUGUGUAAAUUAGCCUCCCAUAUAUAUUGGGUUUGUGGAAUUUAUCUCUCAUAAUGAUCUUUUGACUAUAAUUGUCACGCCUCGUGCCUAGAACGUAGCACCACCACACCAUAGACAAUGCUAAAGGCGUAAGGCAACAAAUUUCCAAAGCAACUACAUUUACCUUUAUAUAAACUUUUUAAAUCCACAAAUACAAGAUCAUCUAUAACAGCAAUUUUGUGUCUUCCAAAAUAAAAGCAAGAUCAAACCUUCUACAAUAUGUACAAAAUUCAAAUCCUAUCAUAAGGUCUCUUAUAUAUAAGUACAAAAGUCAUCCUCUAACCCAAAGUCAUCUCCAUCUCCAUUACAACCCCCAAGAGCUAUCAAGGUCUACUUCAAUGAACUCAUCAUUAACUGCAUAAUUAUAACAAAGGGGUGAGCAAAAUCUCACUUAAUAAGUAGUGCAUGUAUCUCAUUAUUUGCCUGAGCAUGUUACAUACAUAAUAUAUAUUUCAAACGUCAUUAACUUACACAUAUAACUUUAUAAGAACAUGGUUACUAUAAACAUUUCAAUGGCAUAUCAUACAUCACACACACAAAGGAGCUCAAACCAUAAGACAACAAUUGACCCAGGAUAUCCAGUUGUUAACUUAAACUUAACCAGUUAACACAUUUCAUAGUGCUAACUACCACAUAGUUAGCCCAUUUCAUAUUGCUCACUACAACAUGGAUAGCUCGUUUCAUAUACCAACUACUUGUGAGGAACUAGUCCUGUCAAAAGUCGCUUAUACAAGAGCUCAACAAACAUAACAUUUCAUUUCACAAAUGACCAUAGCAAGAGUAAUAACAAAUAUCACAAAUUAUACUUGCUCAUGCCAUUUUAGCAAUUAGACAAGUAGCUUUCAAAAUUUAUCAUUCAAAAGAUAAAGGAUACAUGCACCAGUUACCUCGAUCCAAUCGAUACCCACGCUAUUUCAAGUAAUCGGAAAAAUAGCUACCUUCCUCACCUAGACAUAAUGAUAAAAUGUUCAAUUACAAUCUUAAAGAUACCAAACUACUCCAAAUUAUCAUAAAAACGAGCCUAAUACUACCCUUAACCACUAAUUCCUAAUAAAAGAUCAUUUCCUCAUCAAAGUAGGACAUAAGGGUUUACUUUAAAGGGUCACUAACUUCCAAAAAUACAGAAAUAGGUCAAGAGAUUUAUAUAGAGUUAAAGCCCUCUGAAUCUAGUUUCCAACGCAAUAAACGGCACCUAAAUCCGAAUUUUCUACACCAAGUUAUAUCCAAAGCAUUGAAAUAUGUCUAUACAGAAAAUUCAAUCUGUCCGAGAAUUAUAGCCAAUCCAUCCGAGGAUUUUAGCCAAUUCGUUCGAGGAUUAUAGCCAUGGAUUUCUAGCAAGUUUUCAAGGCAAAAACAAGUCAUUCUUUCCCUCAACAUUUCUCCUUUUUAUAUUGAUGAUAGCCCUACAUACCCAUUUGAAAAUGGAGACCAAAACAAACUCCAUACACCAUAGCCAUGGAAGCUAACCAAGGAUUUGAACCAAAUACUACCCAAUCACCCAAUCAAAGAAAACCAAGAUCAUGUUCAAGGUUUCAAGAAAAUACCUUGGUUAGUCGUCAAAGUAGAAUCUCCUAACUCCUCACUCCUUACUUGUGCUUGAUUUGUCAAGAAUCCUCCUUGAUUGUAAGGAAAAAGGAGAGAAAUAAGAAAGGGUUUUGUUGGAGAAGGAAGGAAAAAAGGAAAUGAAGAAGAUGAAGAAAGUUUUUGGUAAAAAUGAAUAGUGAAAUCCCAAUAUCACUUUUAUUCUUUCAAAAUUUCACAUAUUAACACAUUGGUCACUCAACUUAACGUCAUUCACUUUUCACCCCAAAAUAGUAUUUCUUCACACAAAAUUCUCUACAAGACACUUGGGUAUCACAUUCUCCCCCUCUAAUAAAAGUUUUGGCCUCGAAAUUUAACGUACCUCGUUGGUUAAACAAAUGUGAAUACUUAGUUCGCAUUUCCUCUUCGAGUUCCCAAGUAGCUUCACGAGUACUAUGAUUGGACCAUUGAACUUUAACAUAGGGAAUUGUCCUUCUUCUUAGCACUUGAUCUUUACAACCCACAAUUCGAAUUGGCUUCUCACUAUAAGUUUAAUCCUCUCAUACCAUUAAUGGCUCAUACUCCAGGAUAUAACUUGGAUUAAAUACAUAUUUUCUCAAUUGCAAAACAUGAAAUACAUUGUGAACUCUUGAUAAAGAUGGUGGCAAGGCUAACUUGUAUGCCAAUUCUCCAACUCUAUCCAAAAUUUCAAAAAGCCCAACAUAUCUUGCACUCAGUUUUCCACGUUUCCCAAAUUGCAUGACACCCUUCAUUGGUGAAAUUCUAAGAUAUAAUUUAUCCUCUUCUUGAAACUCUAAUGGUCUUCUUUUCAAAUCGGCCCAACUCUUUUGUCUAUCUUGUGCUGUUUUCAACCUUUCUCUCACUAGUGCCAUCUUCUUGAUUGUAGCUUGUACACUUCCUCCCAUAUAGAGCUUCAAAAGCUAGCAUGCCGAUACUACUAUGAUAACUGUCAGUGUAAGAGAACUCACUUAGCACCAGAGAAUCCUCCCAACUGCCCCCAAAAUCCAUAACACAUGCUCUAAGCAUGUCCUCCAAGGUUUGAAUUGUACGCUCUGAUUGCCCGUCAAUUUGAGGAUGAUAAGCUGAGUUGAGGUUUAACUCGGUUCCUGUGGCUUGUUAGAGACUUUUCCAAAAUCGAGAGGUGAAUCUAGGAUACGAUCAGACACAAUACUCACUGGGACACUAUGAUAACGAAUAAUGCAAUCCAUACAGAGAUUAGCCAAAGUAUCCAUAGAUGCAGUAGCAACCAUAGGUACAAAAUGAGCUGAUUUUGUCAGUCGAUCAACUAUUACCCAAAUGGUGUCAUUACCUCUCCUAGACCUUGGUAAUCCAACAAUGAAAUCCAUUGCUAUAUGCUCCCAUUUCCAUUCCGGUAUUGUCAAAGGCUUUAAUAAUCUAGCAGGUCUUUGAUGUUUGGCCUUUAUUUGUUGACAAACUAAGCAUUUAGACACAUAAUUCGCGAUCGCCCUCUUCAUACCACUCCACCAAUACGACUGCUUUAAGUCUCGGUACAUCUCAGUGUUAUUAGGAUGAAUAGAGGCUUGGAAGAGCAAGCCUCCGCCAUUAUUUCUUUUCGUAACUCCGGAUCUUUAGGCACCAUAAGCCGAUUCCACAUCCAUAUACUACCAUCCUUGAGUAGUUGAAAGUCGGGUAAUUCCUCACUUUUAACUUUUUCCUUGAUUUUUGCCAACUCGGUAUCAUCUUCUUGAGUUUCCUUGAUUCUCGAAAUUAAAGAUGGUUAGGCAACUAGAGUUGCGAGCACAUGCAUGAAGGAUUCUACGACCUCUAAAUUCAAUUCCUCCAUUUGUUUGACAGGUGCCGAACCUGUACAAUAAUAAUAAUAAAACCUAACUACCACCAAAAGCAAUCAAUAAUCAAUUCUAAGUACUGGAGCAGGGACUUUAGGUAUGCAAUGAGUUACUUGAUUCACCCUGUUGCUGAAGAGUUUGCUGAAUCCGAUAUACCAAAAUUAAUUAGCUAACUAAAUUUACUAACUAGUAGACAAUGGCAAGCAGGGUCGUCUCCUUAGGGGCUGGAGAGAAAUUUGUUUCUUUUAAGCCAAGACAAACAGAGGGUUUGAAAAUUAGAUGCUAAAGAAUCACUAACUAAACAAAUUAAAUGCAAAAAAUAAUUAAUUGAGAGAAAUAAUUGGAGAAACUCUAGCCAAGGGUGCACUUCAGAAAUGGUUCAUGCAACUGAUCAUCGAUUCAAAUAUAAUUCCAACAAUUAUUAAUAUAUUAGUUAUAGUUGUUAUGCACGCGAUAAACAACCAGCAUUUCCUUAAUUUCUCGAUAGUUAAGGUACAACCGUUAACUAUUUCUCUAACCAAAAAACAACCCUAGGUACGACCGUAGGAUUUAAUUUCUAGUUUGCAUUAAGAUUUAGAAAAGCCCAAUCCUAACUACCAAACACGCUACGAGGGUUUGUUUAAGUUAGAUCGUAUGUUUUCCUGACAUAAACCCAAUUACGCCAGUUGCUACCGAGAUGGAGGUAAUCAAACAAUUACGGAUUCAACUACCCCCAAUUAGCAAAUUAACUACGUGAAUAACUAAAUAUUGCGCACUAUUCAGUCAUACACAAUAGCUAUGACAAUUAAAGGUAGAAAACAUACAAAUACUAAUAAAUGAAGGAAACAGUUAAAACAAUUUAGAUCUCACAGUUAUUGUUGAACCAAAUUUUCAAUUGUCUCCUUGACUAGAAGUGGGUGAUUUGUUCAUCCUCAUUGAGAGUAACUCACGCAAUUCCAUCGAAGGAAAUUGCGUCAAUGUUUGACAAUAGAAGAACUACUCAGAGGAGAAGAGAGCCAAGCGGCUGCCUUCCUCCCCUUUUCUUAUUCCCUGGCCGAGUAGUAAUCACGCGGGAUCCGGCUUUUGUUCUUCCUAUUUUCUAGCUUUCUAAAAACACAUUGAACUUCCUCCCUCACAAUCCGUAGUAAAUGAUUCCAAAAAAAUCUCCUACUAUAGGAAAACUAACUUCCUAAAAGAUAGGUACUCAAGCGCUUAAAAGUCUCCUAAACCAACCCAAUUACUAAUUAGAAACUUGGCAAAUAAUAUCAUCUUCCAAUUAUGAUGACGACUCCCACUUGGAUUAGGAUACUGCCCGGCAUAGAAUCCCGCGCACUCCAGACUUGAUUGAUGUCUUCUCACGCGUCCACACUUUCUUGGAGGAAAAUCUUCUAAAAACUGUUAUUUCUGCACUUUCUUUCUCCAAUUGGCUAAACAUCCCCUAAACAUAAAAUUCAAACAAAAUAUGUCCAUUAAUGCAAUAUCCAAUCCAAUAAGAAAAGGAAAUUAUAAGAAAAUUAAUGCUAAAUUAGCGUUCUAUCAUUGUUUUACUAACAUAACUGCUAUCAUUCCUGAAAUUUUCCUGCUCAAAGCAUCAGCAACCUUGUUUGCUUUUUCUGGAUGAUAACUAAUGGUAAGAUCAUAAUCUUUCAUUAACUCAAGCCAUCUUCGUUGUCUCAUGUUUAGCUCUUUCUGCGUGAACAAAUACUUUACGCUUUUAUGAUCUGUAAAGACUUCACAUUGCUCCCCAUACAAGUAGUGCCUCUAAAUCUUCAAGGCAAAAACAAUGCCUGCCAAUUGCAAAUCAUGUGUAGGAUAGUUGUGUUCAUACCGCUUCAAUUGACAAGAUGCAUAAGCUAUGACCUUCUCAUUUUGCAUUAGCACACAUCCCAACCCAUUUUUGGAUGUAUCGCUAUAAAUAGUGAAACCUCCAGAUCUAGAAGGUAAGGUGAGAACUGGUGCCGAAACAAGCUUAUUCUUUAAUUCUUGAAAACUAUUUUAACAUUUAGGUGUCCACUCAAACUUAACAUGCUUUUGAGUUAAACAACUCAAGGACAAAGCAAUAGUAGAAAGUCCUUCAACAAAAUUUCUAUAGUAGCCAACUAAGCUCAGAAAACUCCUCAAUUCUACCACAUCAGUAGGUCGGGGACAAUCCACAAUAGAUUCUAUCUUCUUAGGAUCCACAAAGACACCAUCUUGAGAAAUAACAUGCCCAAGGAAGGACACACUUUGAAGCCAAAAUUCACAUUUGUUGAGUUUUGUAUAAAGUUUCUCACGCCUCAAGAUUUGUAAAACAUCUCGCAGGUGAUUUUCGUGCUCUGCUUCACUUGGAGAGUACACCAAUAUAUCAUCAAUGAACACCACCACAAAUCGGUCUAAUUGCUUUUUGAAUAUCCUAUUCAUCAAAUCCAUAAAGGCUGCAGGAGCAUUAGUCAACCCUAAAGGCAUGACGAGAAAUUCAUAAUGGCCAUACCUUAUUCUAAAUGCACUCUUUGGAAUAUCUUGCAGUUUAAUCCUUAAUUGAUGGUAUCUGUAAUGAAGAUCGAUUUUUGAAAACACCUUAGCCCUUUUAAAUUGAUCAAACAGGUCGUCAAUACGAGGCAAUGGAUACUUGUUCUUGAUCAUAAUUUUAUUGAGCUCCCAAUAAUCAAUGCACAAUUGCAUACUUCCAUCCUUCUUCUCUACAAAUAAAACUGAUGCACCCCAAGGGGAUACACUUGGUCGAAUCAAUUUCUUGUCAAGCAACUCCUGAACUUGAACUUUAAGCUCCUUCAACUCUGUGGGGGCCAUCCGAUAGGGUGCCUUAGAUAUAGGUUCUAAGUUGAGUAUUACAUUAAUCUCAAAAUCAAUUUCUCUCUUGGGAGGUAGACCUAAUAAGUCAUUUGAAAACACAUCUGAAAAUUCUCUUGCAAUUGGGAUAUCCUCAAGUUUUAUCUCUUUCUUACUAGAGUCUACUAUAUAAGUCAGAAAACAUUCACAUCCCUUCCUAAUUGCUCUCCAAGUUUGUAUGGCAGAUAAAAUGGGUAGAGACUUCUUCUUUGGUUUUCCUCAACACCCUUGAAAAGAUAAAGGUGGAAUGUUUGGGGUUUAAAAAUCAACACUUUUACACAUACAAUCUAUAUGGGCAUAAUUUUGUGAUAGCCAAUCCAUACCUAAGAUAGCAUCAAAUUAUAUUCAAUUACACUAGAUUUGCCUUAAACUCUCUCCCACCUAAAUCUAAAGUACAACCUUCAUACAUAAGGUGAGAAACUAAAACUUUUCCCCCGGGAAUGGCUACACGAUACGGGUCAUCCAAAACACAGGGUUUAAUAUCUAACUCUCAUGCAAACUUCUUUGAAAUGAAAGAAUGGCAAGCCCCACAACCAAAUAACACAUCCGCUGGAAGAGAAUUAAUCAUUUCCAUACUUGUCACAACAUCCUCUACUCCUGCUGCUUCUUGUUCAGUCACCUUAGAGAUUGUGUAAGGUCGAUCUGCACUAGAAUUCAAGCUAUUUCCUAGCCUAUUGUUGCCUCUAGUUUGCUUAGAAUUCGGGCAAUUACUCACUUUAUGCCCCAUUUCUCCACAACUAAAACAAGCUCCCGUUUUCCACCUGCAUUCUCCCGAAUGAACCCGAUGACAAUAAUCACACAACUUAGAUGGGUUAGUAGGUAGAUACCUUGGAAAAGGUUGUUGAGAAGAAUUAGCCUAUUGCGAAACUAUAGGUCUUGGUAACGGUGCUUGUCGGGGAGGUUGCAUUGGUCGAAGAGGUUGCAUUACACGAGAAGGCUAACCAUGUUGACGAAGUUGGCCUUGCAUUACGAUUUAUCUAUUUCUCCUUUGUCUCGUCUCUUCAUCCUCCUGAAGAAUGUCUUGUUCAACAUCUAAACUAGCUUCAUACAUUUGGUCACAAUUGGCAUAGAAAUUUUCAGAUAUUUUUGAUUGAAUCUGACUAUUCAAUCCUCCCUUAAAGGAGACCAUCUUCAUAGUCUCAUCGGCCAUUGUAGAAGGGACGAAGCAUCCCAAGGAGAGAAAAAUAGUGUUACUCACCCACAGACAUGGAACCUUGAUUAAGGUUAUUGAAUAUUCGAAUAUUUUGAACUCGAAUAGCUGGUGGAAAGUAAUGCUGUAGAAACAUCUUUUUGAACUCAUCCCAUGUCAAAGUACAACCUGAAGAAACCAUGGUCAGGGCUACACCAUCCCACCAUUUCUCUGCUUCACCAAGAAAGAUGUCACUACUUGAGGUCGAAUAUCUUCUGGCACCAUCAUAGUUUGGAAUUUGUUCUCAAUUUGGGAUAACUAUCUCUCUGCCACAUUCAAGUUUGGACCUCCAUCAAAAGUAGGCAAAUAGACCUUGCUAAACUCCUUGAAAUGGUACUUAACACUAACCCAUACCUUGCUCUCUUUCUUCUUGUUGUUGUUGUUGAUAUUGCUGCCAUCCAUGCAUGAACUAAUAUGCCACAGAUAAGGUAGUUGGAUCUAAUUUUAUUAUGACACCCAAACUUUUGCAUUUUAGCCCCAUAUGUGGUAAACUAAUUUCAUUAACUCUACCAUGACAUCUUAUCUUUUAUAAUUUAGUCUCGUAUAUGAUAAAUCGAUAUCAUUAAUUCUAUUAUGGCACCCUAUCCUUUGCACUUUAUCCUAUGUUUUUUUCAUUAGCAAAAUGCGGAAGGUAUUGUAAUAAAAAAAUGUAUAUAUAUUUUAUAAUUGAUCCAAAUUUAGUUAAUAACUUGGUAUAAAGUUAAAAAAUAUCAUGGAUUCCCUAUCCAGUUCUCUUGACAACACCUAGAAAAUUAUUGAUUAGCAUAGUAGGAAAACAAUGGCAAAGAAGAAUAAAUUUUAAUAUGAAAUUAAGUAAAGUCUUGACAAUUGGAUGGCUAGAGUUUAUUAUUAAUUACACUAGUCACAUUGUUUAUGGUUUAUGAAUCAGUACUUGUACUAAAUACAUUUAGUGUUUCAUGCAUGUAUUAGCAAACUAUUUUGGUUAUUUGAUCAACUAAACAUAUUGUUAGGUCUUGUCAGACCAUAAUUCGUACAUAAUUGACAAAAUUAUUAAAUUAAAACAAAAAAUAUUUACAUUAAAAGAUUUUUUUUGAAUCAUAAACAUAUUUUUAAUAAGCUUUUUAGUUUUUGAACAUUAUUUUUUUGUAGAGAUAAAAAAACCUAUGUUAGUAAAAAAAAUUAUCAAAAAACACUAAAUUUUCAUAUUCUAAAAUUUUAAUACAACAAAUAAAGUUUUAAUAUAACUUGUGAGCUAACAACUCAAAAUAAUAACCAAUUUUAAUUACACAGAGAUGGGGGAAAAAAGAGAGAUAUUAGAGAAGGCAUUGUUUUUGUAAAGAAAGGUCCAAAUAGUUUGUAUAAAAGUCACUUGAAAGUGUUAUUUUUUGGCUGAAGCUAAAAUGGAAGCGGGAAUUGAAAAUUGAAAGAGUAGAGGCGGGUGAACAAAAGAAGCAGAAACGACGUCAUUUUAGCAAGAGUUAAACAAAAACACUCAUAACACUUAGAAAAAUUUCGGACAAAACUUGCUUUCCCCCUUCUUGCCAACUUCGGACACUACAUCUUCUCCUUCUCUCCAUUAUCAUCUUGCUGAAAUUAUCCAGAAAAUCAUUUUAACCCAUCAUUUUCAUCCGUAAUUUCAGCUACCCAAAAGAUUUGGGCAGCUUUAGUGGAGUUGUAGAUAGCAAAAAUCCUUAAGUCGGGGUAGCACUUGCUUGCUGGCAAGAACACAGAAAAUUGACCAUGAAUUUUUGGGGAAAGCCAAAGUUUGAAGACUGAAUCUUAAGGAAACAAGAGCUAAGGUUGUCACAGCAUAAUUUGAGGUAAAUAAUCUGUUACAUUUUUCCAUCUAGUUUCGAUAUUUUCUGUCAAAUGUAGGUCGAGUGAGCUGAAUCUUGAGUUUAUGGGCCCAAUCUUCCACUUUAAUCUUUCAAUGGUGAGGGAUUGAGAGAGUUUUGAAAGUGAAACAAAGUGAAAGGGAAGCUAUCCUUUGUGAACUGUCCAGACCCCCUAAGAAAAUUCAUGUUUGAAUUUUGGAUGUGGAAAUUUUACUUGUAGCGAACUAUUUUUCUGAGUUUGAUAUGUUAAAAAUUGAAACAUUUUUGUGUAGUUGAUAGCGAUUUAUUAUAAUUGUUGGAGAAAGUUAAUAACAUGUGCUGUUUUUUAUGUAAUUUUUCAGUUCUAAUUCUAUUUGUAAGAGUAGCUACAUAUUAUAAUGGCUUACAUACAACUGAUUUUGAGGUAAUAGUGCUUUAAUAUUCUAUAAGUCAAGUAUCCUUUUGGGAGCCAAUUCGAUAUUUAGUUUCUAAGAGCUUAGAAGAAAUUUUGAUCAGUUUGGCGACUUCUAGAUAUUGAGGGAAUGAGAAGCUAUGCAAAGCGAGUGGAUUAUGUUGUUGGUAAGUGGAAGUGAGGCAGAUUGUAUAAUCUUAACUUAUGGCCUUUGACUUUAGAAGUUAACUGUAUAAACUUACCAUUACCACACACUAAUUAGACAUUGUUUACUCUGAUGUGGAGAAACAAACUCCUAAAUUGAUAAAUUCAUGUUAUUGUUAUGAUUGUUUUAUUGCACAUUAUGGUGUUAGUGUUGCAGUAGAGUUUACUAUGGCUUUUUAAGAUUCCUCCCUAUUGAAUUAGAGUUUUUGACCUGGAUUUACCAACUGAACGUGAAAGAUUCUGCAACAAAUAAAUGUUAGCUUUGGAGUAGAAAAGCAUUGUUGUCCACCCUGUAGUUGUAUUUGUUAGAGAAGUUAUUAAGGGGACCAAGAAUAAGCCAAUCUGUAAUGGCUUAUACAGUUAAAUAAGCCAUUAUGAAUAAAGUAGUAGUUUAGCCAUUACAAUCUGUAAUGUCAUCUGCACAUUAAUGCUUUUGCAUUGUAAUGAGAAAGUGGACUCUAUUUUGAAAAUUAUGCACUAUGUUUAAGUUUGGAGCAGCAUUAACUCAUUAUUCUGCGGCAAAUGUCUUAUACAUUUGCACGGGUAAUUAGCUCUUCAAUGCAUGUUUACUUGCUAUGUAGAGACAUUUUCACUCUGAAAUGCAACCUAAUCUGUGAUGUUUGCUUGUAAGAGAGGUGCUGCAUGUUUAUUUGAAGAGUAUAGUGCUCAAACUCGCUCAAACGAUGACUAAUGAUAGUGGUGUUUCUGACAUAAUACAUGUAAGUGUACUUUGAAACUUCUUAUUAAUUAACUCUAAAGAUUUUGAAGCUAUUCUGUGGCAUGUCAUCUUAGACAAGUUGUGUUUGACUUUGAUAUGAUUCAUAGCCUCCAAAAGAUGUGGAUUCCAAUUUGGUCUGGUUUGUUGGAGUCUCAAGAUUCUCCUAACUUCAACUUUUAUUUCUUUCCCUUUUUUCUUUGGCUUCUUUAUAUGGAAUUUUUUUGUAAAGUUAUUUUAUUGAGCAACCAAGUUAAUGCCGCAUCAAAGAUUUCAUUGGCAAGUUACUUAUUAAGUUACUAGCAGGCAUAACUGUGGCGUUGCGCGGUGGAUUAGAUAGCAUGUAUGCCUAUUUAGGUAUGAAUAAAUAGACAUUACAUGAAUAGUGAUAAUGUCACGGAAUUAAACAUCUUUUUUUUCAAUACGGAAUUAAAUACCUUGUGGUUACAUUAUCUAAGUUUUAUUUGUUUAGAUCCAUAUUCCGCGCUAAUUAAUCAUUAAUAUAUCCAUGAACGUCUAGAAGAAGGUAAGCAUUUAAUCGAAUUAAAAUUUAAUAAUAAUAUAAAAACAAUAUAGAAAGCAAUAUAACUUUGGAGAUCAAGAAUGUAAAUUUAAAAUUUAUGAUAGACAGAAUAAGGGGUAGAAAUUGGAACUCAAAACAAGGUUAAUUCUAUUUAAGGCAUUUAGAAGUACCAAACCAGAAAUUGGCACACUGCAUCGGACAAAAGCAAUUGCAUUAAUGAUUUGGAGUCUACUUACAUAAUAUUUAGAUCCUGAACAGGCAAUGCUAAGGGUACAUAAUUUCUAUAUGUUAAUCUCAGUUCUUAGCUUUUGAUGAUUACAAAACAAAUGGAUGUUGCUAAUAUCUCCUCAAAGACCUUUUUAGAAAUGAAGCAAAUUAGGUUCAAAGAUGAACCUGUUGUUGAAGCUGUCGGACACACAAAAAAACUGGAUCAGACGUUCGACAAUCAUUGAACAACUUCGGAUGUAUAAUGAACUCCAUUACCGGACAUCCGAAAGAAAUCAAACACCUCCUUAAGUUCACUGACCUCGAUCGGACGUAGAACAUUAAAGCACCGGACGUCCACAGAAUUGAAGAAGGAUUCUCAAACUUUACCAUCUGCUUUCGGGGGCAAACUUUGGAGGUACCGGACGUCCGAAAGAAUUAAAGAAAUUUUUUCUUACUCUCUGCCUGCUGUCGGACACAAGAAACAAGACUACCGGAUGUCCGACACUACCAACGGUUAGUUGAUUUUUCAGCUACCUUCUAUUCGUUAGAAGCUUAAAUGAAGGAAUUUUUUGGUCUCCUAUCAAUAGAGCAAAGUCAACCACUUCAAAUUACUUUUGCUCAUUGAAACUACAAAAGAUCGAGAGCAAUUUUAGUGAGAAAAUUCUCUUCAAAGAAGAUUUGUACUCUUAGUUGUGUAGAUUUCGUACAAGCUUUUCUUGUGUGAGAAAAUUACUUCAAUAGUGUAGCUUUGUAAGGGUUAUCCGAGUGAUAAUAAAACUUGCUAACUUGACCAAGUGUGGUUUGGAGCAAGGAGAAAGUGAUCCUUUUUUUGUGCACAUAGAUUGGUUGUAAUUGAUUAACUUGAAGAAACUUACUCUAUAAAGUGAUAUUCAAACUCAAGAGGAGUUUGAAAUUUGGUUUGCUAUUCUAUCUCUUUUAUUUACUAUACUGCAAUAUAAAUUGUUCAUCUCUUCUACUCACGGACAUUUGUACUUUCUCAUUAUUUGUUCCAUUGUAUGGUCAUCUAGAAAGAGGGUAAAUUUCAUAUUCAACCAAAAAGUGUCUCAUAAUUUGGUUAGUUUUUAAUUUACCUAAUUCACCCCCGUCUUACGUUGUUUUCGAUCCUUACAAUUGGUAUCAGAGUUUGGUCUCCUAGAGAUUAAGCUCAAUCGGCUUUGGAAUAAAAAUGACAACCAACAAUGCCAUGUUUUUUGAAGGAUAAUCUGUCACUAGACCCCCAAUGUUUAAUGGAUCCAAUUAUGUGAAUUGGAAGGAAAGAAUGAUUAUGUUCUUGUAAUCUAUUGAUAUUGAACUAUGGUUUAUUGUUAAUGAAGGUUCAUUUGAAUAACUCUACAAUUGAUGAAGCCACUCAUAGACUAAGACCAAAAAUCAGAAAUGAGUUGACUGCUGAGAAUAAAUCUCAUCUCACCUUGAAUACCAAAGGUAUGAAUGUGUUGUAUAGUGCUUUAGAUUCAAAUGAGUCUAUUAGAGUCAAAGGUUGCCGAUCUGCAAAAGAAAUUUGGGAUAAACUAAGAGAGAUCCAUGAAGGAAGUGAGAAUGUAAGAGAAUAAAAGAAAUCAAUCCUAGUUAUUAAGUAUGAAUCAUUUAAGAUGGAACCUUAUGAAAACAUUGAUAAGAUGUAUUGUAAAUUCAAUGAUCUCAUUAAAGAUUUAGAGGUGCUGGAAAAUGAAUACACCUUAGGUGAGAAAAAUAGAAAGAUUUUGAAUGCACUGACCAAAGAUUGGGAGAGUAAAGUGACUUCCAUUGAAAAAGCUAAAGAUCUAAAUACUAUGUCUAUUGAAUCUCUCAUUAAUUCUCUAACUUCUUAUGAGUUGAACCUUAAGUCUAAGGUACAAGAGGAGGAAGAUGCAAAAGUGAGAAGGAGCAUUGCUCUAAAAACUUCUCAAGAUGAAGAUGAUUCAACUUCCUUAGAUGGAGAUAAUGUAGAAGUUGAUGACAAUGAUCUUGCUCUUAUCACAAGGAGUUUUAAAAGAAUCCUCAACAAAAGGAGAUUUAGAAGAAGAGGACCUAGCAAUACAUUUUCUAAUCAGUUCAAUAAUUCAAGAAACAAAGGAAAAUAAGAGACUAAUAAAAAGCAAGCAGACAAAUACUUUGAAUGCGGCCAACUUGGACACUACAUGAGUGAGUGUCCAAUGAAGAAGAAGAAAGAAGGAAAAGUUGAACGAAAAUCAAAGUUCAACAACUUUCAAAUUACAUGGAAUGAUUGUAACUCAGAUGGUGAUAUCGAAGAGAAAGAGGAAUCUGCUCAAAUGGCUUUCAUGGCCAUUGAUGAUGAUGAGGUAACUACUUGCAACUGUCAACCUGUUGGUGAUGAUGAAUCUAAAGAUGAUGUUGAGUCUUUCAUUGAGAGAUUGCAUAAUAGCUUAAAAGAAUCGUAUGCUAGAAACAAGGAACUAAAAUAGAAAAUUAAUUUUUUGAUUCAAAACAAUGCAAAUCUUUUUCGACAAAACAAAAUGCGGAAAGCUGAAAAUGACUGCUUGAAAAAGGAUGAAAAUGUUCUACUUUUUGAGCUUGAUAGAAAAACAAAGCUGUGUGAAUUGUUCAAAAAGGAACAAGGUGACUUGAAAAGAAGAAUGGAUGGCCUAGAUAAAUUGCUUAAACAUACGAAACAAGACUGCUUUCAAAAGAGUGAAUCAAAACCUCACUUUGACAUUCACAAGAAAAGGUUGAACUCUAAUGCAAACGAAUUUAACAUCUAUAAAAGAAGGUAAGUUAGAUUUAUUAAACCUGUCUUUGUAGGAAACUCACUGACUAUGUGUAGCUUUUGUUGUCAAGUUGGUCACAUGAAAAAUAAUUACUAUGUAAGAAAGAAUAUGAGAAAUGACAUGAAAUGCAUGUGGAUAGUUAGACAUAAUGUUAACUCUCAAGGACCCAAAAAGUAGUUGGGUACCAAAUAUCAUCUUGUGAACUUUUGUGUAGGUGAGAUUGGUGAAUGUUAUUAAAGAAUCAAAAUGGUUCAUAGAUAGUAGAUGCUUAAGGCAUAUGACUGGUGAUCCCUCACAGUUCAUCAAACUCAAGUCAAAAUCAAGUGGAAAAGUAACAUUUGGACAUGAUAACAAAGCCAAAACAGUUGGAGUUAGAGAUGUUGGUAAGAAUGGCCAAACUUUUGUUCACAAUGCUCUUCUAGUUGAUAAUCUGAGUUAUAAUUUGUUGAGUGUUAGUCAAUUGUGUGACAGAAAUCUGUUUGUGCUAUUUAAAAGGCAUGAAUAUCUUAUUCUUGACUCAAAAUUUAACAUUAUUUUCAAAGAAAAAAGAGUGAAUGACAUUUAUGUAGUUAUUCUAGAAAAUAUUGAUUCUUUCAUCCUUAAAUGUCUUAAAACUGCAGAUGAGGAUCUUUGGUUGUAACAUAGAAGAUUUUGUCACUUCAAUAUAAAUUUGUUAAAAAAAAUUUCAAAAAAGAACUUGUUAGAAAUUUAUCAAAAAUUAACUUUGAAAAAGACAAAAUUUGUGAUGCUUGUCAAAUUGGAAAACAAGUAAAAGUUUCUUCAAAUCUAAGAAUUGUGUUUCUACUUCAAAACCACUGGAUCUUUUACAUCUUGAUUUAUUUGGUCCUACACAAAUUGCUAGUUUGGGUGAUAAAAUAUAUUAUUUGAUUAUUGUUGAUGAUUAUUUUAAAUACACUUGGGUUAUAUUUCUUGCUCAAAAGGAUGAUACUUUCAAAAGUUUUGUUUCAUUAUUUGCAAAAGUUCAAAAUCUGAUUGGAUUGAAAAUUAUCAAGAUUAGAAGUGACAAUGGCUCGGAAUUUAAAUUUUGUGGUUUUCCAGAAUUUUGUGAUAACAAUAGAAUCACAAUGAGUUUUCAAUUGCUAGAACUCCUCAACAAAAUGGUGUUGUUGAAAGAAAAAAUAGAACUCUUCAAGAAACCGUACGAACUAUGUUAAAGUGAAUGUAACUUACUAAAAUAUUUUUGGGCCGAAACCGUUAAUACCACAUGUUAUGCUAUGAAUAGAGUUCUUUUGAGACCUAUUUUAAACAAAACCUCUUAUGAGUUAAUGUUUGAUAAAAAGCCAAUUGUUAGUUAGUUCAAAGUUUCUGGUUGCAAAUGCUUUAUUUUAAAUAUCAAGAAACACUUUGGAAAGUUUGAAAAGAAAUCUGAUGAAGGUAUUUUUUUGGGAUAUUGUGAUAACAAAAGAGGCUUUAGAGUCUAUAAUAGAAGGACUCUUGUUAUUGAAGAAGCUAUACAUGUCACCUUUGAUGAAUCUAAUGAUAAUAUUUUCAAAAGUAGUUGUGAGGAUGAUGAUGUAGGUGUCCAAGAAGGACUCAAGAAACUCACAAUUCAUGAUCAAAACGAUACUCCACAAGAAGAGAGCUCAAAAAAAGAUAAUCCCCAAGAUAGUCAAGCAUUAGAAGAAAAUGACAAUCAUGGUGAUGCACCUAGGAAUCUUCCAAAGGUUUGAAAGUUUGUUCAAAAUCAUCCUAAGGAAUUCAUUAUUGGUUAUCCAUCCGAAAAGGUAAGAACUCGUUCCUCUUCAAAACAAUUGAUGGACAAUUUUGCUUUGGUCUCACAUUUUGAACCAAAAAAUAUUAUUGAUGCAUUGAAAGAUGAAAACUGGAUUUUAACUAUGGAAGAGGAACUAAAUCAAUUUGAAAGGAACAAGAUGUGGACAUUAGUUGAAAAAUCUCAUGAUCAUCCUAUUAUUGGCACAAAAUAGGUGUUUAGAAAUAAAAUGACUGACAAAGGUGAAGUGGUGAGAAAUAAGGCUAGACUAGUUCUUAAGGGGUAUGCUCAAGAAGAAAGAAUAGACUUUGAUGAAACAUUUACUCCCAUAGCAAGACUAGAAUCUAUUAGAAUGUUUUUGGCAUUUACACGUUUCAAGAAUUUUAAAUUAUUUCAAAUGGAUGUUAAAAGUACUUUCUUAAAUAGUUUUAUUGAUCAAGAGAUAUAUGUUGAUCAACCUCCCGGUUUUGAGAAUGAAAUGUUUCCAAAUCAUGUGUUUAAACUCUUAAAAACUUUGUAUGGUUUAAAACAAGCUCCAAGAGUAUGAUAUGAAUGCUUAAGUGGUUUCUUGAUUGAAAAUGGUUUUGAAAGGGGCAUUAUAAACACCACUUUUUUCACCAAACGAUGUUCCAAUGAUCUACUAAUUGUGCAAAUAUAUGUUAAUGAUAUUAACUUUGGUGCUACUAAUGAGUAUUUGUGUAUGAAUUUUUUCAACUAUUAUGCAAAAAGAGUUUGAGAUGAGCAUAAUGGGAGAAUUGAAUUUUUUUCUUGGGUUUCAAGUGGAACAAACUCGAGAAUAAACAUUCAUUAAUCAAGCUAAAUACACCAAGGAACUGCUCAAAAGGUUCGGUAUGGAGGAAUCAAAACAAGUUGGAACACCAAUGUGCACAUCUAUCAAACUUGACAAGGAUGAAGGAGGUAUAAAUGUUGAUGAAAAGAAGUAUAGAGGUAUGAUUGGCAGCUUACUUUAUUUAACUGCAAGUAGACUUGAUAUCAUGUUUGCUAUUUACUUGUGUGCUGGUUUCCAAUUUUGUACAAAAGAAUCUCACUUGCUUGCUGUGAAAACAAUUUUUAAAUAUUUGAAAAGAACAUUGAACUAUGGUCUUUGGUAUCCUAGAUGUCAUGAAUGUCCUUUAUAUGGUUUCUCGGAUGCUGACUUUGGUGGAUGUAGAAUAGAUAGAAAGAGUACUAGUAGUACAUGCCACUUUCUAGGUAAUUGUUUAGUAUUUUGGUUAAGUAAGAAAUAAAAUCCUAUUUCAUUGUCUACGGCCGAAACGGAAUAUGUUACCACUAGUGCAUGUUAUACUCAAUUGAUGUAGAUGAAAAGUACCUUGAAUGAUUUUGGAUUAGUAUAUGAUUGUGUGCCUGUGUGUUGUGACAAUACAAAUGCGAUAAAUUUGACAAAAAAAUCUCAUUCAACAUUCUGGGAUAAAGCAUAUUGACAUAAAGCAUCAUUUCAUUAGAGAUCUCCUCCAAAAAGAUGAAAUUUGUGUGCAAUAUGUUUGUUCAAAGGAUCAAAGUACUAACAUUCUCACAAAAGCCCUUUCACUAGAUCAGUUUAUAUUUUUAAGAACAAAAUUGGGUAUUAUUGAAAAGUUUUUUUGAAAAAUUAUCUGGUCACACUUUAUCAAACGUCUGACAGUGUUCUUGAUCACUUUUCCAGAAAAUUUGGUUUUGGACGAUAGUGUCGGACGCUUCACUUCGUUCAACCGUCCAACACUCUAAAUAUGCUUGUUAUAAGUCAAUUUUCUCCUUCAUUCAGUUUAUUUUCUAUCCGUUAUAUCAGACGCAACUUCUCAUCCUCUCCUAUUUUCAAAUUUCAAAAUUCGUCUAUCUUCUGAACAAGUUCCAAGAAAUUAAUUAGUUCAAAGCCUUUACACUCUUUUUACCCGUUCAUAACCCCUCAUAACUUCCUCUAACUGCCAACUGGUCUAUAAAUCCCAAUUUUCACCCGAAACCCUAGUCACUCAAAAGUCACUCUCUCUGGAUGAUUCAAGCCCUCAUUAUAAUUAAUACCGCAUUUUUAGUCAGUCUCAUACAUAUUUGCAUCAUUCUCCAUAACAAAAACAAUCUGCAUUUCAUCAUGGUAAGAAUUAGGGGAGGAUCUGUCAGUGCAAGACGCACCACCAGGUUCAGGUUGAGGGAUGAAGAUACUGAAAUUAUUGAGCCCUCUACCACUAAAUUUCCAAAAAGGGCGACAAAAAAACAUGGUGGAAAAGGGAAAGGUUCGGCCCAAAAAAAACAUUCAAAGGAAUGGCAAACUACUUCCGCUGAGCAAACUGCAUUACCUCUUAUCAGUGAUAGUGAAGAGGAACUGGAGCAGCUUACUAAUGUUGACGCAUCUGUCACGAAAUCACCCAGAAAAGGGACUGAACCUCAUUGUAAAAAGGGGAAAUGGUCUGCUAAAAAGAAUGGGACAGUUCAAACUAAGGAAAGGCAAACUGCUGAUCCUUCUGUUGAGCAAAUUGAGGAACAGCAGACUGUUGAGCAAAAUGCUAAGAAUCAGCAAGCUACUGAGACUUCCACCAGAAAGUCACCAAGAACAAGGUCUGGUGGACAGACCGAUAUACAUGAUACUCCUCGAAAUGGAAAGAGGAAACGAACUGCCAGGGAGCAACCUGAGGCUCAGAUUGCAGAGGAAUCUACCUCAUUGCCAAAGUUCAUUGAUGAUGAUGCCCGAGAUAGGUUCAAAUGGGUUUCUCAGAAGGACUUCAUCACCCAAUGGACAAUUAUCCCUCAUGAAUUCCGUAAGUUUGACCUUGAACCUGUCAUUAAGCUCUUUGAAUUCCAAAAAUGGAUUCAUAUUUUGACCAUUCCCAACACCUACUACCCUGACAUGCUUCAUCAAUUUUUUGUCAAUCUCAGGAAGGGUAAAUCCCAUACUGAUCUAGUCUCACGAGUAAAUUCUGUUGAUAUAGAAUUAAAUCCUGAUAUUGUCAACACUGUUAUGAAAAUCAAAAUUGAAUAUGGUUUUAAAGGAAAAAUUGCUAACUUUUUCUCAUAUGAACAAUUUCUUUCUGCCUAUAAUCACUUUCAUAUUGCAAAACUGAUGACUUAUUUUCAAACUCAUUUUAAUACUCCUACUGAGGCAAGAUUGGAAGAUCUCAAUCCUCAAAAUUUGAUCAUCUUCUCUAUAAUUUCAUCUAUUAGUUCCUACUGAUGGUUAUAGGACAAAUGCCAACAAAAUGGAGCUUUACCUGUUUUCCUGCUUUCUUGAAAAAAUUUGAAUUGAUUUCGGCUUUGUUAUGUGUAAAUUCUUACUCAAAAUCAGCACUGAUAGCCGUAGAAAACUUUCCUAUGAAAAAUUUCUGAUCCCAAUUUUUGCUCAUUUCAAAAUUCCCUUCACUGACAAAUCACCAAAAGAAAGUACAUCUAUUGUCUUUUCAAAGGCAUAUUUUGAAAGAAAAAAUCUGAUGUUUUUUGAUGGAAAAUGGUGCUACAAGGAAACUGUUUUGGAGACUAGGAGAAAGAAUCAUCAUGAAACACCUAUCUCCCCUAGGACUCCUCAAGAUCAGUCCAUGUAUAUUUCAUCCUUUACUAUCCAUCCUAGAAGGUUAGCCACUAAGCCCUCUUCAACUAACUCUGAGGUUAUUUCUUUGCUUGAAAAUCUCAAACAACACAUCCUACUCCUUGAAAAUAGUCUAAUGAUGACCGUGUCACCCGACCAACAAGCCACCUUCAUUGACAAAAGAAAUUUGCAUGUACCUCCUGUUCCUCAAGACAAUGAGAAUGUACACCAAAAGGGACCUAGAAUUGAGUCAACUGAGCAAACUCCUCGUACUGAAACUACUCUAGAGAUUCGUGCUUCCAGUUCUCAUCCACAGGACAAGGGAAAGGCUCCAGCAACUGAAGCGGAAACUGAAGAGGAUGAUGAUGAGGAAACUAAAGAGGAAGAAGUGGAUCCUGCUCAGUUUCGCCUAGCAAGAAGGAGGUCUGGAUCGUCCAAGAUUACAAUUUAGGCACCUCUAGGCUCGUGCACUUCAUGUUUAAGUAGGCAUCUCAUAUUAGACAUUUGCAUCUUCGGCAUUUUAACAUUUCAAGUACUCUGUACUCAAGAUUCUGGUUGUUUGGUUAACUCUUCUGGCUUAUAAACUAUUCGGUUAACUUCUCUAUGUUGAAUGGUUUCUAAUUAAUUUUGUUGGUUAUCUUUUUGGUUAAUUCUGUUUGCUUCUGGGUGCUUGGUAUCCCUGUGACUUCUGAUUUUUAACAUUGUUUGCUGAUAUUGGUGAUUGUUGAUUUUGUUGGAUAUUCUUGGUUAAUGAUGUUGUUGAUGACAUUGAUGUUGGAUACAGGAUUGGAAUUGGAUUUGAAUUGUAUUAAUGUCACUGGCUAUUAAGAUCUUCUAAUGAUGACAAAAAGGGGAAGAAAUGAUAACAAGUUACUACAGGAAAUGUAAUCUGGUAAAUACGUGAGGGGUAGCUAUUCUGAGGGAGAGUGUCUACCUUUUUUGAUUCAUUAAGUGAGGGGGAGUUUUUAACUUAAUUAUUUUCCUCCAUCCACUGUUUUGUCAUCAUCAGAAAAUGGGAGAUUGUUAAUCUCAGUUCUUAUCUUUUGAUGAUUACAAAACAAAUGGAUGUUACUAAUAUCUCCUCAAAGACUUUUUUAGAAAUGAAGCAAAUCAGGUUCAAAGAUGAAACUGUUGCUGAAGCUGUCGGACAUACAAAAAAACUGGAUCGGAUGUCUGACAAUCAUUGAGCAACUUCGAACGUAUGAGGAACUCCAUCACCGGACGUCCGAAAGAAAUCAAAACUCUUCCUUAAAUUCACUAAUCUCGAUCGAACGCAGCACCGGACGUCCGAUAGAAUUGAAAAGGAUUUUCAAACUUUACCAUCAACUUUCGGACGCAAACUUUGGAGGUACCGAAAGUCCAAAAGAAUUAAAGAAAAUUUUUCUUGCUCUCUGCCUGCUGUCGGACGUAAGAAACAAGACUACCGGACGUCCGACGCUACCAAUGGCUAGUUGACUGUUCAACUGCCUUCUAUCCGUUGGAAGCUUUAAUGAAGGAAUUUUUUGGUCUCCUAUAAAUAGAGUAAAGUCAACCACUUUAAAAUACUUUUGCACAUUGAAACUACAAAAGAUCUAGAGCAAUUUUAGUGAGAAAAUUCUCUUCAAAGAAGAUUUAUACUCUUAGUUGUGUAGAUUUCGUAUAAGCUUUUCUUGUGUGAGAAAAUUACUUCAAUAGUAUAGCUUUGUGAGGGUUAUCCGAGUGAUAGUAAAACUUCCUAAUUUAACCAAGUAUAGCUUGGAACAAGGAGGAAGUAAUCCUUCUUUUGUGCACAUAGAUUGGUUGUAAUCGAUCAACUUGAAGAAGCUUGCUCUAUAAAGUGAUGUUCAAACUCAAGAGAAGUUUGGAAUUUGGUUUGCUAUUCUAUCUCUUUUAUUUACUAUACUGCAAUAUAAAUUAUUCAUCUCUUCUACUCACGAGCAUUUGUGCUUUUUCAUUAUUUGUUCCAUUGUGUGCUCAUCUAGAAAAGAGGGUAAAUUUCAUAUUCAAUCAAAAAGUGUCUCAUAAUUUGGUUAGUUUUUAAUUACCUAAAUCACCCCUCUCUUAGGUUGUCUUCGAUUCUUAUACUAUAAUUUCUAUUCCACUGGCUCCAAAGAUCAAUACAGCAAUUGAAGUACGAGGCUGAGCAAGAAAGAACAAAAUGUCUCCGUCUUCUAACCUAUGAGCUAUAACAAAGUCACUCCAUCUUCGAUGAAAGCCAUCUUUUAUGAUUCCAAUAUUGUAACUUUUGGUUCCACUUGUUAGAACAAUAUCUAGAGUCCAAGGCUCAACUACAUUUAAUCAGUGUGCUCUAGAAUUUUCUACAAGCAAAAAGCAAGGCAUAAGAAUGUAAAGGAAUUAUGUUGCAAAAUAGAAGGAUUUGUCUUAAAAUAUAUAUAUGUAUAUACCGUGCUAUAUCUAAAUCUUUGAGUAUAAACUUAGAGCGCAUUUAGCACCAUUAGAUCAUGCCUAAUGAAUUGAUUGAUGGAUGAUGCAACAAAUCCUAAACUCACAUCUAUAGCUAUACCAUCUGUAGCACAGCAACAGGUGUGUUAGUAAAGUAUAUCAAGCGACAAAAAAAAAUUUAUUCAUUGUGAAAUGGAAAUUUAUGCUCCUUCUAAGAUCAGUGGUGUGUAUGGGAGCAUUGGCAAGUGCAAUGUUCAUCAUGUCCACAUUAGAUUGUGAGUAGCAGAGAAAGCAAAAACUUCGUAGAUGAAGUUCCCUCUAUUUCAAGAAAAAAAAAAUCAUAUUGCCUGGAGAGAUGUAGUUAUCACUGCAGAAAUUGUUCCAUUGUUUUUCAAAACAAGAAUUCAGAAUUUUUAUUUCCAAUGAGCCAAACCAUGAUAAAUUGUCCAUCUUCAAAACAAUUAGCAGCUACUAUUUCAUCAGGGAUCGCUUGAAAUGAGAUAGACAGGUUAGGUAUGUAUUAAGGGAAAAAGUGAGUAUCAAUUUAACAGAUGACUUAUUUUCUGGUGCUUGUGUAGAACAAAACAUAACACCACGGUUGUCCACUAUCCAUGAAACCAAUCUCUUCAUUUUCUGUUCAAGAGAACAAAAGAAAUGCAAUUAUAUGUGUAGCUCAUUGAGUAGUCCACAUUCUAUAAUGAUGCAAAAAAUGUAUAAAAAGCCACUUGUUUCUACGAAUGCCAUUGAGGUGAUAUAUGUAUUAUUCUAUAGCCACUGCUCAAUCAAUGCAAAUGAAAAUAGUGAGGGUUCACCCAUAUAUUUUAGAACCAUUGGACAUGCUUCAAGGAAAGACCUCUUCACAUAAUAAGUUGUCGCUCCAUGAACCUUGUUUACAGCAGUUGCUGCAAGAAUCUUUUCAUGGUCAAAGGUGCAUAGAUAAAAUUUAAUAUUGUUUCCCUUCUCAACUGCCUCCUAUUUCUAAAAGGGUCUCUUGGUUUAACCAUAGGUGGUUAAUAUCAAGAGUAUUUUAGUUCUAUAAUUUCAGCAUAUCUCAAAGCCGAUCACUAAAGCAAGGAGCAAAAACAAGGGAAAGUUUGCUGUGCUACCAAAGGAAGAAGAUGUUGAAUGUAUUUUAAAGUGAGAAUGAGCAUAGCAUGUUUAAAUAAGAAGUCAAUAUACAAGGACAAGCAUUAAGUACAAGAGCAUUAUAAUUGGUUGAAAAAAUAUGAAACCUCCAAAUAGAGCAAAGCAGGAAAUACCUCACUCAAUACUUCCAAACAAAGCCACCAUACAUAUAAUUAUUUAUAAUUCACAAUACUUGGGAAACAAGCAAAUAUUUUGAAAAUUUUCCCAACAAGACUUGCAUUACUGUAACCACAAUGAUCUCAAUCAUUAUGUGUUACAUAGUUGACCCAACUAUUCUAUUUUAACAAAGACAGAUUGUUUUAAAUAUUCUUACGAAAAUGAUAGAACACAAGUGGCAUGUUAGCCUUAAAAAUUUAUUGAAAAAAUACAAUAAUUUGACCUUUACUUGAAUGUCCAAUCACCAAAACUCAAAUACGAUACUGGAAAUCCUAAAAGCUUAAGCCCAAAUUAUAGAUCAAGGCCUUUACUCCAUAUCAGCCAAGUAAUAAUCAUAUAAUACCAUCCAACUAAAUAAAAAAUUAUGCUCACAUAAGCUUUCAAGAGCUGUACAUAUUGAGAAGUAAAUCUGUCAAGGAUUUUUAGAUAAAAUAGAACUUAAUCUGUCAAGGAUCAUCUCCAGCUAUUGUCUCACAAGUACAUCAUAACCAGAAGGAAAAGCAACUCAUCUACAUUUUUUCUUAGAAACCUCCAUUGUUUCAGAAGUGCAAGUGUAAACAGGCUCAUCCCUAGCCAUUAUCUCACAACCACAUCAGGACUAGAAGGAAAAGUAAAGGAAAUGGCCAAUGGAAAAUUCGAAAAAAAGCUACAAUUCUCAGAAAGAUUCAACCAUGCUCAAGUAAUACUAACAUAAUACCAUCCAAGUAAAUAAAAAAAAUUUUGGCUCACAGAAGCUUCCAAAAGCUAUACACAUUGACAGACCCACAACAUGAAAGACCCAGACCAGAAUAAUGCCAAGCAAAGACAUAGCCACAACCUAAAAAGGCAAGUCCAAAUAUAAGUAAAUAUGAAAAGUUUCUGCUUACAAAGGCUGCCAAAAUCUAUGCACAUUAACAAAAUUAUAACACAAAAGACCUACGAGAAUAAACCAAUGAAAAACAAAAUCACAACCAGAAAAGAUGACAAGAGGAUAGAAAUGCAAAAUACAAAGAUAAAUGAGCAAAGAAUAGAAAAAUAUCCAACAAACAUCAAACCAAUGGACAGAACAAUAGUGAAAAUGGUAAAAAGAAACAUAACCAAAUAUCCAUGAGCAAACGAAAAAUAGAAAAAAUAUAAUUUACCUAACGGGAGAAAUUACAAUCAGAGCUCGCAAGUAAAGGAUCUGUAGAAAAGAGGAGCUUGUCAAAAUGCCAAAAAGAAAAUGAAGGAAAUAGAGGAAAAUACUAAAAUAACUGAUGAGAAAAAGAAGGAGAUGAUGGGGGGAAUGUAGACAGAGCAAUAACAAAAAAUGGUACCCAAGAGCAAAGAAAAACAAAAAUAUUACAAAUUACCUGACAAAAGAAACUAUUAUUAGAGCUCGCAAGUAAAGGAUUUGCAGAAAAGAGGAGCUUGUUACAAUUUUUUUUUUUUAAAAGGACAAGGGAACCAAAGGAAAUAUUGAAAUACCUGAUAAGAGAAAAGAGAUGGAAAUGCAAGACACGGAGGUAAGCGAAGAAAACAGAAGACGAUGGAAAUGUAGAACACAGCAACAAACCUCCAAGAGCAGGACACACCUAAGCUUCACAAAGGCAGAGCAAUAACCACAUAGAAUCUGCGAGACAAAGAUGAAGUGAAAGGCAAAGAAGCUGAAAAGUGCCUGACGAGAGAAGCCACAAACAAAAUUCUCAAGACAAAGAUGAAGCGUGAAAACGGAGAUGAGAAAACAGAUGAGAAACUCUAGGAAAAAAGGGCACAACCAAUUUGUCUUGGAAUUCAGACCACAUUGGAAGAGACAGCCAUGAUAAAAUGCGCCAAUUACCAUUCUGAAGAAAGCUUUCCUGGUAGCUCCAGGCAAUGCAGCGGUGAGAGCCAAGAAGGAAAGGAACUCGUACGGUCAUCUGUUCCAAAGCAGAAAACCCAUGGUCGACCCAAUUACCCGAACCAUUCCAAUGGAGCAUCUAGAAGUGCAAACUUACACAACUCACAUGCUCGGCACAUGACAACGACGAAACCCCUUGGUGCAUUGUAUGUUAUGUUGAUAAGAAAAAAUGCACCUAUAUGAUUCAUCUUCAUAUCUUGCUGUCUUGUUUAAGUUUGCAUUACUGUUCAUGCAUCCGAUGUAUGUUCUUCCAUUUUUUUUCUUCCAUGUGUAUGUCAAACCUAUGGUACUCAUGCACUUAAUUGUUUUUUCAAAAUCUUAAGAGUAACAAGUUUAUUCUACUGAUUUCAUGAACUUGCAAAACACAAAAAAUUUAUAAAUGCAGGGAAAUGAUCAUAAAGUUCAUAAAACACAAUAAAGGAAAAAAGAGCAAGGAAAAAACACAAAAUAAAUGCAAAAAAAAAGUGGAAAAAAGUACAAGGGCAAGAAUCAUAAAAAGAAUGGGUAAGAAAGAAAGAUGCAGCACUUGCACUUGCACGAUAAGCCUUUAAAUCUUUGUUCACUACAAUGAAAAUCUCAAGCAAUGAUCAAUUACAUUAUUGUUAUCCUCUAGGCCAUUAUAUCAAGCUAGCUUACAUAAUGUACUUUGCCAAAUCAUUAGUCUCCUAUUGGGAGUCGAGCAUUUAAAAACUAAGAUGAGUUUUGCUCUACUCAUCAAAAAAAGAUGAGGAAAACAGCUUUUUGCCACAUUUGUGGUUUUAGAGCUUAUUGCACUACGUGCAUCUGGUGAUUUCAUUUGAUGCUAAAACUAUAUCGGUAUUUCCUUUUGAAUUUAAUGUAUCACAUCUUGCAAAAAAGGAGGCACAGUAUUAAGCGCAAUAAGGGGACAGGUGACCAUUUCAGCUGCAUGUCUUCUGAAUUUGCAGCCCAACUCUUCAUUGACUAUGAUCGGAUUGAUGAGAUGCCACUCACUUGUGUGUCUAGUUUGAAUCUACUGCUAUUAAAUGAAAGACAUAAAACGAGCGAGUUGUGCAUGAUAUGCGUAGAAGCAUAACUGGUUCCAUGUAAUUUCUAAGUGCAUUUGAAGGUAGGAAGUUACACUACAGAUUUGUUGGCCUAUUAUUCUACAAAAUGGCUCAGUGAUCUAGAAUUAUAUCAUUGCAAAGAAUGAUUUGCUUGUUGAAGGCACUGACAAAAACAUCCAGCUUCUUGUUGAAGAUUAGAACAUCUGUGACAUCUAAGUUCCAGUUUGUUUUCUUUUCCCAUUUUUGGAAUGAGUUUAGUUUCUUAAGUCACCAAAUUUACAACAUUUUCAUGUUCUUGACAGUGGAUGCUAUUUGUCUAAAGUAAUUUUUCAUGUAUACUUAGCAUCGUUCACUAAAAUCGUGAUAUAGAACUUGACUUUUGACUUGAUAUUAUUUUCUGUUCUUCCUAGGCCUGUCUACUGCUUGUUGUUUUGUGUAGUCAUUAUUCAGAGUUUGAAGACUAUUGGACCUGUAGGCUUUAAAAAUCUUGUUCACAAUUUUCUUCAAAAAGUUGGCUGCAAGAAGCUUUAGAACCUGCAUUUCAAAGAGCUGGUCAGAGAAUGUAUCCUUAUUGAAAGACUGCAGUGGAUAAUUAUACUGAUUCAUUUUUUGCUAAAUAUCUUUUUAUGUUGAGCAUACCAUUUUUUGGUUGAACUUAACUUUCACUAUAAAGGGACAGAGAUUUGGAGAAUUGAAAACUUCCAACCAAUUCCUUUACGAAAAUCUGAUCAUCGUAAGUUCUACUUAGGUGAUUCAUACAUUGUCUUGCAGGUGCAUAUGGCUUCCAAUAUUUCUUCCUUUGUAUCUUAUUUUGGGCCUCAUUUUUAUGAAUUGAGUGUUUAUGACUGAAGGAAGAGCUUAAAUCUUUUUUAUCCUAUUUUAAGUUUGGAUACAAUGAACUGAUAAAAACUAAUAUCGAUCAUUGCAGUCCAGUUUAAUAUUGAUCAUGAGGAGGCUGUUGAAUAUGAUGAUAGAGAUGGUUGAAAUCUGACAUUGGUACUACGGUCUAUGCUUUAGUUUAGAAAUCUAGUACUCUUUUUUUUUGGAAGGAUAUGUAUUGGUCAUUACUGCUUGAACUUAUUAUGUGAGCUUUGGGACCCAACAUUUGUGGUUCACUUUUGUUUUGAUGAAUGUAUAGACGUUCAUGGCCAUAUAUAUGAAUUUGUGGUUUUAUUCUACGUUGAUUUUGUCUUUUGUCAAAUUGAAUAUUCUGCUAUAAUUUGUUGAAAAUGCUAUGACAAUGCUAUAUUCGUAAUGGUCAAUUUCAGCUCUUCAAGACAAAGCUCAGUGACAACCUUUGACAUGCAAUUUCACUAAGUGACGAUUAUUUCUGUCACUGAAUAAUAGGACUGAUUGUGACAAGCUCAGGUUGUCACUGUAAACUUCAAAUUUGUGACGACUUUUGCUACAUCUAUGAUAAAAAUAUAGGUGAAACAGUGACAAGAAAAGUCAUUACAAAAUAAUAUCCAUUAGUGACGACUUUGUCCUCGUCAUUGAAUAACAAGAUUCUAUGACGACUUUCAAAGAGUUGUCACAUGGACCCAUUUAUGACAUAGAAUCUGUGACAACCAUGUGACAAUCGAAAAAGCCGUCACUAUAUCUGUAUAAUGACGACUUUUUGGCUUUUAGUAAUGACUUUUUGUUGUCACAAAAGACCCAUUUUCUUGUAGUGUAGUAUGCACAGAAAAGGUGGCUAGAUCUAAUUUUUUUGGGGGGAGGGGUGUUUCGAUUCGCAUUAUUUGAAUUCAAAGGGGAUGUUACUGUGACGCCCCCACAUCUCCCUAAGUCGAACCAAAGGGUAUCCGCGGGACGCCUGCCCAACUCUAGUCAGGACUCAAGUAAUUCCGUUCAACUUAAAACCAAACCGAACAUUUCGAAGAGAGCAACAUGAAUACAAAUAAUGCAGAAGCGUUAAAACUUAUCAAGUCACUUAACAUGUAACCAGUACAUCGGGUAAUCAUAAUACAACUUAAAUCCUAAAUACACGUCAAGGCCCAAAUUUUACAUUUCAAUUCCAAAAGUACAACCCAAACCAGGGCAUAGCCAAAAUAUAGUAGAAAUCCUAAACAAAAGGACAACGAAGGGUUUCUCCAUACUUCCCCAAGAUUCGGUCAUGUUAAGGAAAACAAACUAAUAGGAUGAGCCAAUACUCAGUAAGGCCAAGAAAACACACAUGCAAACACAUAAUCCAAGUAGCGACAACAAUUACAUUGUAGGUAAGGCUAUCAAAUUCGAAUAAUUCACAUUUCGAAUAGGAAAAAUAAACAGAAACAAUUCAACGAUACUGUAGCUCUCAGGAGCUAAAUUCCACGUAGUCGAGUCAAAGUCUUGAUCACAUCUCACGUUGACACUUCGUCAACCACAUAAGUAUCAAAUCCGUAGAUACACCACUUUUCUUCGAAUCCCGUCACCGUUACACCCCCUUACCGGGCCCGCUCAUAAAAGUUUUUGAUAAUACUCGAGUAUAUCAUGGCAAUACUGCACGAGUAAUGCCGAACAAAAUCUCUCAAAUAGAUCAUGCUCUACAAAUAUCUCAUGGUUUGCUAAGCUUAUCGACCAAGCCCAUGCUGGCUCGAUUCGCAAAGUUAGCCAACGAGUUUGGGCGUCCCCCGAAUACGAAUACGAAUAUAAGUCGAUGAACAACGCUCAAAUCGACAAUUCCAAAUAGGAAUCACAAAUACGGAUCACGUAUACGAAUCACAAAUACAAAUCACAUCCACAUUACCAUGUACAAGUCGGAUACGAAUUCACAUAGCAAAAUUCGAAUAUAAUUUCAUUUGAAAGAGAACGAAUGCGAUAAAGUACACCCUCGUCUCAAAAUUUCAAAUUUACAUAACGGAUAAGAAACAGAUAACCACUUAACAACAAGUUCAUGCACUUGACACUCACCAAUCGAAAUAAGGGAGUAAGUGCAUAAACGAGCCUUUAGGUGUUCCCCUCGAGAUCCUCUUGAAGGUCUCCUAGAGCACCUGAGUAAAUAGUAAUUGUCUAUUACACACUAUCGCUUAAAACCCCUAAUUAUCGAGGAAGAUUGCACACUUGUACAAUCUAAGAAAAUUUCACGAAAAUGAGCCUUGAUUACUCGUAAAUCGAGGCUAAAAAAAUGGUGUUUUAAAACACAAGCGAAAUCUGAUUUUCAUCUUUGAAAUCAAGUGUAAAACGGUUUAGCAAUAUCGAAGGAAAAUAGAGAGUUUGCAACUCUUAAUUUCCUUUAAGUUCGAAAAUUUCAGAUUUGUCACCCAUACUUUGGAAAAUCGUAUCUCAUUCUCUACAAGUCCAAAAUUGGAAAACAUUAUACCGUUGGAAACCUCUUGGAAAUUACUAAAAGUUCUUAGAAUACACUUUUCCAUGAAUCUAAGUAAAAAGCACUCAAAAAUGAGCUUGAAAUCACUGUUCCAGAAUGUUCAGGAUUGAGCUGGGGUUGGUUUUUCGCUAACUUUGGAAAUUUGGCAGAAUUCACUCGUUGUAAAAUAGCCCUUGAAAUUUAUAACUCAAUUAGAGGUGCAAGUAAGGUUUAGGGAAGAACAAGAGGAUUGAGAAUUGGAGUUUCGAGCACCGAGAUACGGUAGCUCGAAGUUGGGAAAAUUCAAGUCUGGUGAACAAUUUCCAGAUUUGAGUUUCCAAAAAUUGGAACCUUAGCUAAGUGUCAAAACGAACUUGGAUUGGUAUAAAAUUUUGCAGUAUGUUACUCCUAUAUGAAAGGUACCGCUCUAUCAAAUUUCAGGGAAAAAUACCUUCGGAAAGGUAGUUAAUUAAUCAUCCAAAGUUCAGGAAAAUUUCUAAAGCAACCUGUCUUUUGACUUCAUUUCCCAAUUUAAAUCGUUUAAUCAAGAAAGCUAUCCAACCAUGGUUCAUUUGUGAAAUAAAGGUCAAAGAUACAUCCAUGAUACCUUUGGUAAGUGUUUAGCAUCAAGAACUUCAAUUAAUAAGAUCACUCCCAGGUUUUGUCCCAAAUCGGUCCAAGUAUUUCGGUUUUCCCAAAACAGGGCAGUUCUCUUGUUUUGGUCACAACUCAGUCAAUUUAACUCAAAAUGGAGCAUGGUUUAUGUCGUUGAAAAAUAAAUUCAUAGGGCUAUAAUAUCACAGAAGAAAUCAUUUCAAAAUUUGGCACCCAAAUAGUUCAAAAUCGAGCAUCAAUUUGCUGUCUUAUCACUUCAUUCCAGUUGAACAGAGCAACAAGACAGCGAUCUUAAAACGAUUGGUUCGGCUCACUCACAAAGAAUCAGAACAUGCAUUUUAUCUCAAAUUAACGCCUGGAAUGUCUAGUUUCCAACGCCACCAACGGCACAUGAUUUUGACAUCCGAGGACGGAGUUAUGGCCGAAACACCACCGCUGGUUAGAGCCAUACGUGAACAGUUUCCAGAUUUGCUAGUUUCACAAAAAAAAAUUCAUCUGCCCAACCAAACCUCAUUAUUUUUCAAUGAAAUUUUUCACACAUCUAAUACGUCUAAAAUAACGGUCUUAAGUCCCUUAAUUGAUCGCGCGCGUAAAACGCGUAUUUCCAAUUUUGCGCGAUAACGCUUAACUUUCAAAAAAAUUUCUUAUAACGAUUGUAUUACUAACUAAUACUUGAGCACUUAAACAUAAAAAUACCUAAUUUCAGACUAAUGUACAUGUCUCUAAUUUUUUCCAAACUUAUUGUAUCCUCGAUUCAAUUAUUUAUUCCAAUCGCAUAUUCACUAUUUUUACUUAACGAGUCUUCGGAAAUUAAAUUUUGAAACAAGUCACUUUAAAAAUAUAACUAAGCCAUAGAUCCUUUUAAUUAGGUCUAAAAAGGUUAGAAAAUAAUAUUUGGGGCGAUUGGCCAAAUAAAUAAUUAAAUGAGCUAGAAUUUGGAGUUUAAAAUAGGUAAAUUUUUGUGAGUCUUUACAUGAGUCGAGUAUUAAUUCCUUAAUGAACCUUUCUUAAUCUACCACUGAUCAUUGUUAACUCUCUAAUAUCAAUACACUCUCGAUUCAAAUAUAGUCUCGAAAAACAUGCACUCGUUGUUCCAAACUAAACGAGUUUUCGAAAAGUGAAUUUUUCUUACAAAACGCUUUAAAAAAUAUAAAUGAGGCGUCGUUCCAUAUAAAUGGAUUUUAAAUGAUCGAAAUAAAUAAUUUGGAGAAAAAUGAGUAAAUAAAUAAUUAAACAAACUACCAAUAUUCGAUAAAAUAAAAAAAAAUUUCGAGUCCUCACAUCCUCCCCUCUUUAAAAGAAUUUCGUCCUCGAAAUUCACACUUAGGAUAAUAGUCAUACCCUUAAUAGUCAUGCCUUUCAAAUUAAUCACUAACUUACACCCUCCGAUCCAUAUCUCACAAUUUCUAUUUACCCAAUUAGUAGUCAAACUUUAAUUCUAUCUUAUGAAUUUAGGGUUUUACAAAAAGUGUGUACGGUACUAGGUCACUGAGAACCUUAGAUAGACAAAUAAAAGGAAGAAUCAUAUCUCUAAUGACUUUAGUAGAAUCGGAAACAUGUUGAUAAUCUAAUGCAUAAACCCUAGCUAGUGCAUUAGAUCGACUUCCUCCAAUACUAGGCUGCUUAACGGCUGACUUUUCAGGCCUUUGGGUACUACCUCCUUCUUUUGGUACGGUCGGGCAUUUUGAUAUCUGGUGCUCGGUCCUACCACAAUACAAGCACUUCCCUUGUUUCCUAAAACAAUCUUUCUCCGUAUGGUUGAGCUUGCCACAAUAACCACAAACGACUUGGGGAGCCACAGAUUGACCACUUGGAGGUGUCCCUCUCGAUUGACCUCGUCCAUUGCGAUCUACUCUUGAUUGAGUCCCUUUUUGCAUGUUAGAUAUCUCCACUCUACCCAUCCCUUUUCCCUUUUUAAAAGGUGGGGCACUCUUAUCUGCCUGUCCCGAAUGGUUACUAGAAGUGCCCCUCUUCUUAGCAUGAAAGUCUCUAACUUGCAGCCUUGCACUCUCGACUCUCUGUGCUUUUUCUAAGACUUCAGUGAACGUAGAGAUUUGGGUUGCAGCCAAACCCUCCUGGAUUUCUACAUUAAGUCCCUGCACGAACCGUCUAAUCCUCCUCCGUUCAUUAAUCACCAAUUCAGGAGCGUACUUAGAAAACUUAGUGAACUUUCCCUCGUACUCUGCUACACUAAGGGUUCCUUGUUUCAACUUGAUGAAUUCAUCCUCCCUUUUCUCUUGGAUUAAGGGCGGAAGAAAUUUCUCAUUAAAUUCCCUCAUGAAAUUCUCCCAAGUCCAAGGGGUUUGAGCUCUUUCCCAUUUUCCCCUUAUCAGGUCCCACCAAGCGCGUGCCACUCCCUCAAAUUGGAAUGCAGCAAAAUUCACUCGCCUAUCCUCGGUAUAGUCUAAGGCGGCGAAUAUAUUGGUCAUUCUCUCUAACCAGUUUUCAGCUGCCUCGGGGUCGGGCUCUCCAGUGAACUUAGGCGGGUUGAAUUUAAGAAACCUCUCCAAGGCUCUAUCUUCUCCUCUAUCCUGUCCCCCAAGUUGGUUAAGCGGUCCUGGACCCUGUCUUUCAGCUAAGCGUUUUAGGAUAUCAGUCAUCCUAUUGAUGGCAGUAGCCAUUUGGUUAAACUCUAUAUUCUCUUGUCCUUGGGUCGGUCCAGUUGCCGAUCCUUGUUCAUUCCCUUGAGGUUGGGUCUGUCUAGUCCCUCGCCCAUGGCCUCGACCACUCUUUAGUCCUUCCAUUAUCUUAAGGGUGCCUAAUGCAGGAAAUAAAAGCGAUCACGCAAGAAAUUUCUUAAAACAAGAGCCGAUCUAGAAAACAUCAGAAAUAACAAUAAUUAACAUGUAUUUAUGCUUUUAAAAUUCAUAAAAUUAGCAAGUCGGGGGGGUAUGACAAAAAAAAACAGCACACAGGUGCCACAAAAAUACUUUUAGUCACAUACGACUAAAGUAAAGUAAAGUGCCUCAAAAGUAGGCCAUACAGUCAUACAAAAAUGCAAUGGCCUCAGCACUAGCAUCACCCCAGCUAAAUCUAACUACAUCAGUCAAAAGGGGCUAAUUUUUUUUUUUCGUUCAUUUCCAACUCAUAUCAAACUCUUGGAUCCUAUGGAGUUACAUAGGACCAUCCAUCAAUCUUUCUCUAUCUCUCUCUCUCUUAGGCUCAUCUACAUUCCACUUCUCUCUAGUCAAUAUUGUCCCACACUCAGUUAAAAUAUUCUGCGCCAAAUGUCUCAUUUCUCUUACUACAUGAACUGGAAAUCCAUUGACCUCUUGCACUUGCUCUCACGAAACAUUAGUCCAUUCUUGUUCCUCGCAAAUGGAGAUCUUAAGUCUUUAACGUUACCCUCAACUCCUAAGUACUCGGGUACAAGAAUCCGAAAUAAAAUAAUUCACAUCUCGAGCUGGCCAGUCCCAAGAGUAAAUCACCAUAUUUGAGAUUCGUACCCAACAUACAUAUUUGGUCUUUCCCAAGUAUUACGAUAAAAGAUUUAUACCUAUCACAUUCAUGAUUCACAGCUUACACUCUAAAAGAGUACUUAAGCCUUUAGUCAUUCAUAUGAUAAGGACCAUAACACCAUUUGACCCAAUCUCACCCUUCGCAGAUACCACGCGAAGCGGCUCUGAUUUUUUUUUUUCCUACAAGUGGCCACUUAACUUUCAAACCAAUCCCACAGUCCGGCAUCCUAAAUUUCAACCCUAAGAUACACUACAAAGAUCUGAAACCUAAACUCUGAUACCAAAUGUGACGCCCCACAUCUCCUUAAGGCGAACCAAAGGGUAUCCGCGGGACGCCUGCCCAACUCUCGCCAGGACUCAAGCAAUUCCAUUCAACUUAAAAUCAAACCGAACAUUUCGAAGAGAGCAACAUGAAUACAAAUAAUGCAGAAGCGUUAAAACUUAUCAAGUCACUUAACAUGUAACCAGUACAUCGGGUAAUCAUAAUACAACUUAAAUCCUAAAUACACGUCAGGGUCCAAAUUUUACAUUUCAAUUCCAAAAGUAUAACCCAAAUCAGGGCAUAGCCAAAAUAUAGUAGAAAUCCUACACAAAAGGACAACGAAGGGUUUCUCCAUACUUCCCCAAGAUUCGGUCCUGUUAAGGAAAACAAACUAAUAGGAUGAGCCAAUACUCAGUGAGGCCAAGAAAACACACAUGCAAACACAUAAUCCAAGUAGCAACAACAAUUACAUUGUAGGUAAGGCUAUCAAAUUCGAAUAAUUCACAUUUCGAAUAGAAAAAAUAAACAGAAACAAUUCAAGGAUACUGUAGCUCUCAGGAGUUAAAUUCCACGUAGUCGAGUCAAAGUCUUGAUCACAUCUCACGUUGACACUUCGUCAACCACAUAAGUAUCAAAUCCGUAGAUGCACCACUUUUCUUCGAAUCCCGUCACCGUUACACCCCCUUAUCGGGCCCGCUCAUCAAAGUUUUUGAUAAUACUCGAGUAUAUCAUGGCAAUACUGCACGAGUAAUGACGAACAAGAUCUCUCCAAUUGAUCAUGCUCUACAAAUAUCUCAUGGUUUGCUAAGCAAAUCGACCAAGCCCAUGCUGGCUCGAUUCGCAAAGUUAGCCAACGAGUUUGGGCGUCCCCCAAAUACGAAUACGAAUACGAAUACGAAUAUAAGUCGAUGAGCAACGCUCAAAUCGACAAUUCCAAAUAGGAAUCACAAAUACGGAUCACGUAUACGAAUCACAAAUACAAAUCACAUCCACAUUACCAUGUACAAGUCGGAUACGAAUUCACAUAGCAAAAUUCGAAUAUAAUUUCAUUUGAAAGAGAAUGAGAGCGAUAAAGUACACCCACGUCUCAAAAUUUCAAAUUUACAUAACGGAUAAGAAACAGAUAACCACUUAACAACAAGUUCAUGCACUUGACACUCACCAAUCGAAAUAAGGGAGUAAGUGCGUAAACGAGCCUUUAGGUGUUCCCCUCGAGAUCCUCUUGAAGGUCUCCUAGAGCACCUGAAUAAAUAGUAAUUGUCUAUUACACACUAUCGCUUAAAACCCCUAAUUAUCGAGGAAGAUUGCACACUUGUACAAUCUAAGAAAAUUUCACGAAAAUGAGCCUUGAUUACUCGUAAAUCGAGGCUAAAAAAAUGGGGUUUUAAAACACAAGAGAAAUCUGAUUUUCAUCUUUGAAAUCAAGUGUAAAACGGUUUAGCAAUAUCGAAGGAAAAUAGAGAGUUCGCAACUCUCAAUUUCCUUUAAGUUCGGAAAUUUCAGAUUUGUCACCCAUACUUUGACAAAUCGUAUCUCAUUCUCUACAAGUCCAAAAUUGGAAAAAUUUAUACCGUUGGAAACCUCUUGGAAAUUACUAAAAGUUCUUAGAAGACACUUUUCCUUGAAUCUAAGUGGAAAGUACUCAAAAAUGAGCUUGAAAUCACUGUUCCAGAAUGUUCAGGAUUGAGCUGGGGUUGGUUUUUCGCUAACUUUGAAAAUUUGGCAGAAUUCACUCGUUGCAAACUAACCCUUGAAAUUUAUAAAUCAAUUAGAGGUGCAAGUAAGGUUUAGGGAAAAACAAGCGGAUUGAGAAUUGGAGUUUCGAGCACCGAGAUACGGUAGCUCGAAGUUGGGAAAAUUCAAGUCUGGUGAACAAUUUCCAGAUUUGAGUUUCCAAAAAUUGGAACCUUAGCUAAGUGUCAAAACGAACUUGGAUUGGUAUAACAUUUUGCAGUAUGUUACUCCUAUAUGAAAGGUACCGCUCUAUCAAAUUUCAGGGAAAAAUACCUUCGGAAAGGGAGUUAAUUAAUCAUCCAAAGUUCAGGAAAAUUUCUAAAGCAACCUGUCUUUUGACUUCAUUUCCCAAUUUAAAUCGUUUAAUCAAGAAAGCUAUCCAACCAUGGUUCAUUUGUGAAAUAAAGAUCUAAGAUACAUCCAUGAUACCUUUGGUAAGUGUUUAGCAUCACGAACUUCAAUUAAUAAGAUCACUCCCAGGUUUUGUCCCAAAUCAGUCCAAGUAUUUCGGUUUUUCCAAAACAGGGCAGUCCUCUUGUUUUGGUCACAACUCAGUCAAUUUAACUCAGAAUGGGGCAUGGUUUAUGUUGUUGAAAACUAAAUUCAUAGGGCUAUAAUAUCACAGAAGAAAUCAUUCCAAAAUUUGGCACCCAACUAGUUCAAAAUCGAGCAUCAAUUUGCUGCCUUAUCACUUCAUUCCAGUUGAAAAGAGCAACAGGACAGCGAUCUUAAAACGUUUGGUUCGGCUCACUCACAAAGAAUCAGAACAUGCAUUUUAUCUCAAAUUAACGCCUGGAAUGUCUAGUUUCCAACGCCACCAACGGCACAUGAUUUUGACAUCCGAGGUCGGAGUUAUGGCCGAAACACCACAGCUGGUCAGAGCCAUACGUGAACAGUUUCCAGAUUUGCUAGUUUCACAAAAAAAAAUUCAUCUGCCCAACCAAACCUCAUUAUUUUUCAAUGAAAUUUUUCACACAUCUAAUACGUCAUAUAAACAUCAGAUUCAACCCAUUAGAUCAUUAAAAAUUGGCCUUAAAAUGGCCGAACAAGGCAACGGCAAAAUCGGAAACUUUUGCUUCUUGCACCCAAUGAAAUUUCUAUCAAUUACACACCAUUAAUCCAUCAUUUUAACCACUAAACCAACAAUAUAUCCACCAUCAAUCAUCAAAUCAGCAACAACCCAAGAGUGGGAGUUCAUAGAGCCCACCAUCAAAAUUUUCCAACAAUACAAGCUACCCAUGUGAAGAUUCAAGCUCAUAUGUGUAAUUUAACCUCCAUAGGAAAAGUUUAGAGUGUUGGAUCAUUACCUGCUUUGGUGGUUGUUCAAGUCUGAAUUUUCGGCCCUUUGAAGCCUGAAGAAAACCGUGGAAAUGAAGCUCUUCUCCUUGCCUAAGUGAAUCUCCAAGUGGUUUGUAAGUUGGAUGCAAAUUUUGAGAUGAAAUGGAGGAAGAUUGGUGCAAGAAUGAAGAAGCUUUUCUUCCUUUCUUUCCUUUGCUGUUUGGUCGGCUGUUUUGGUGUGAAAAUGGGAGUUCUAGCCGUGCCCUUAAGGUGAGAAAAGAAGGGUUUUGAUCUGGUGUGAUGGGUCCACUAAAAGCUUAAGAAUGUGUGGACAAAAUUGCUCCAAAAGUCAACUAAGGAUAGUGCGCGAACGCGCGCCUUUCGUGCUCGUUUCCUCUCGGGUUUGUUUCACUUGUGCACUAAACCUCUAAUGCACUUCCAUUCAUACUAUUAUUAUUCACUUUUAAUAGUCUAAAAUAACGGUCUUAAGUCCCUUAAUUGAUCGCGCGCGUAAAACGCGUAUUUCCAAUUUUGCGCGAUAACGUUUAACUUUCAAAAAAAAUUCUUAUAACGAUUGUAUUACUAAUUAAUACUUGAGCAUUUAAACAUAAAAAUACCUAAUUUGAGACUAAUGUACAUGUCUCUAAUUUUUUCCAAACUUAUUAUAUCCUCGAUUCAAUUAUUUAUUCCAAUCGCAUAUUCACUAUUUUUACUUAACGAGUCUUCAGAAAUUAAAUUUUGAAACAAGUCAUUUUAAAAAUAUAACUAAGCUAUAGAUCCUUUUAAUUAGGUCUAAAAAGGUUAGAAAAUAAUAUUUGGGGCGAUUGGCCAAAUAAAUAAUUAAAUGAGUUAGAAUUUGGAGUUUAAAAUCGGUAAAUUUUUGUGAGUCUUUACAUGAGUCGAGUAUUAAUUCCUUAAUGAACCUUUCUUAAUCUACCAUUGAUCAUUGUUAACUCUCUAAUAUCAAUACACUCUCGAUUCAAAUAUAGUCUCGAAAAACAUGCACUCGUUAUUCCAAACUAAACGAGUUUUCAAAAAAUGAAUUUUUCUUACAAAACGCUUUAAAAAAUAUAAAUGAGGCGUCGUUCCAUAUAAAUGGAUUUUAAAUGAUCGAAAUAAAUAAUUUGGAGAAAAAUGAGUAAAUAAAUAUUUAAACAAACUACCAAUAUUCGAUAAAAUAAAAUAAAAAUUUCGAGUCCUCACAUCCUCCCCUCCUUAAAAGAAUUUCGUCCUCGAAAUUCACACUUAGGAUAAUAGUCAUACCCCUUAAUAGUCAUGCCUUUCAAAUUAAUCACUAACUUACACCCUCCGAUCCAUAUCUCACAAUUUCUAUUUACCCAAUUAGUAGUCAAACUUUGAUUCCAUCUUAUGAAUUUAGGGUUUUGCAAAAAGUGUGUACGGUACUAGGUCACUGAGAACCUUAGAUAGACAAAUAAAAGGAAGAAUCAUACCUCUAAUGACUUUAGUAGAAUCGGAAACAUGUUGAUAAUCUAAUGCAUAAACCCUAGCUGGUGCAUUAGAUCGACUUCCUCCAACACGAGGCUGCUUAGCGGCUGACUUUUCAGGCCUUUGGGUACUACCUCCUUCUUUUGGCACGGUCGGGCAUUUUGAUAUCUGGUGCUCGGUCCCACCACAAUACAAGCACUUCCCUUGUUUCCUAAAACAAUCAUUCUCCGUAUGGUUGAGCUUGCCACAAUAACCACAAACGACUUGGGGAGCCACAGAUUGACCACUUGGGGGUGUCCCUCUCGAUUGACCUCGUCCAUUGCGAUCUACUCUUGAUUGAGUCCCUUUUUGCAUGUUAGAUAUCUCCACUCCACCCAUCCCUUUUCCCUUUUUAAAAGGUGGGGCACUCUUAUCUGCCUGUCCCGAAUGGUUACUAGAAGUGCCCCUCUUCUUAGCAUGAAAGUCUCUAACUUGCAGCCUUGCACUCUCGACUCUCUGUGCUUUUUCUAAGACUUCAGUGAACGUAGAGAUUUGGGUUGCAGCCAAACCCUCCUGGAUUUCUACAUUAAGUCCCUGCACGAACCGUCUAAUCCUCAUCCGUUCAUUAAUCACCAAUUCAGGAGCGUACUUAGAAAGCUUAGUGAACUUUCCCUCGUACUCCGCUACACUAAGGGUUCCUUGUUUCAACUUGAUGAAUUCAUCCUCCCUUUUCUCUUGGAUUAAGGGCGGAAGAAAUUUCUCAUUAAAUUCCCUCGUGAAAUUCUCCCAAGUCCAAGGGGUUUGAGCUCUUUCCCACUUUCCCCUUAUCAGGUCCCACCAAGCGCGUGCCACUCCCUCAAAUUGGAAUGCAGCAAAAUUCACUCGCCUAUCCUCGGUAUAGUCUAAGGCGGCGAAUAUAUUGGUCAUUCUCUCUAACCAGUUUUCAGCUGCCUCGGGGUCGGGCUCUCCAGUGAACUUAGGCGGGUUGAAUUUAAGAAACCUCUCCAAGGCUCUAUCUUCUCCUCUAUCCUGUCCCCCAAGUUGGUUAAGCGGUCCUGGACCCUGUCUUUCAGCUAAGCGUUUUAGGAUAUCAGUCAUCCUAUUGAUGGCAGUAGCCAUUUGGUUAACCUCUAUAUUCUCUUGUCCUUGGGUCGGUCCAGUUGCCGAUCCUUGUUCAUCCCCUUGAGGUUGGGUCUGUCUAGUCCCUCGCCCAUGGCCUCGACCACUCUUUAGUCCUUCCAUUAUCUUAAGGGUGCCUAAUGCAGGAAAUAAAAGCGAUCACGCAAGAAAUUUCUUAAAACAAGAGCCGAUCUAGAAAACAUCAGAGAUAACAAUAAUUAACAUGUAUUUAUGCUUUUAAAAUUCAUAAAAUUAGCAAGUCGGGGGGGUAUGACAAAAAAAAAACAGCACACAGGUGCCACAAAAAUAUUUUUAGUCACAUACGACUAAAGUAAAGUAAAGUGCCUCAAAAGUAGGCCAUACAGUCAUACAAAAAUGCAAUGGCCUCAGCACUAGCAUCACCCCAGCUAAAUCUAACUACAUCAGUCAAAAGGGGCUAAUUUUUUUUUUCGUUCAUUUCCAACUCAUAUCAAACUCUUGGAUCCUAUGGAGUUACAUAGGACCAUCCAUCAAUCUUUCUCUAUCUCUCUCUCUCUUAGGCUCAUCUACAUUCCACUUCUCUCUAGUCAAUAUUGUCCCACACUCAGUUAAAAUAUUCUGCGCCAGAUGUCUCAUUUCUCUUACUACAUGAAUUGGAAAUCCAUUGACCUCUUGCACUUGCUCUCACGAAACAUUAGUCCAUUCUUGUUCCUCGCAAAUGGAGAUCUUAAGUCUUUAACGUUACCCUCAACUCCUAAGUACUCGGGUACAAGAAUCCGAAAUAAAAUAAUUCACAUCUCGAGCUGGCCAGUCCCAAGAGUAAAUCACCAUAUUUGAGAUUCGUACCCAACAUACAUAUUUGGUCUUUCCCAAGUAUUACGAUAAAAGAUUUAUACCUAUCACAUUCAUGAUUCACAGCUUACACUCUAAAAGAGUACUUAAGCCUUUAGUCAUUCAUAUGAUAAGGACCAUAACACCAUUUGACCCAAUCUCACCCUUCGCAGAUACCACGCGAAGCGGCUCUGAUUUUUUUUUUUUCCUACAAGUGGCCACUUAACUUUCAAACCAAUCCCACAGUCCGGCAUCCUAAAUUUCAACCCUAAGAUACACUACAAAGAUCUGAAACCUAAGCUCUGAUACCAACUGUGACGCCCCACAUCUCCUUAAGGCGAACCAAAGGGUAUCCGCGGGACGCCUGCCCAACUCUCGCCAGGACUCAAGCAAUUCCAUUCAACUUAAAACCAAACCGAACAUUUCGAAGAGAGCAACAUGAAUACAAAUAAUGCAGAAGCGUUAAAACUUAUCAAGUCACUUAACAUGUAACCAGUACAUCGGGUAAUCAUAAUACAACUUAAAUCCUAAAUACACGUCAGGGCCCAAAUUUUACAUUUCAAUUCCAAAAGUACAACCCAAAUCAGGGCAUAGCCAAAAUAUAGUAGAAAUCCUAAACAAAAGGACAACGAAGGGUUUCUCCAUACUUCCCCAAGAUUCGAUCCUGUUAAGGAAAACAAACUAAUAGGAUGAGCCAAUACUCAGUGAGGCCAAGAAAACACACAUGCAAACACAUAAUCCAAGUAGCAACAACAAUUACAUUGUAGGUAAGGCUAUCAAGUUCGAAUAAUUCACAUUUCGAAUAGAAAAAAUAAACAGAAAUAAUUCAAGGAUACUGUAACUCUCAGGAGCUAAAUUUUACGUAGUCGAGUCAAAGUCUUGAUCACAUCUCACGUUGACACUUCGUCAACCACAUAAGUAUCAAAUCCGUAGAUACACCACUUUUCUUCGAAUCCCGUCACCGUUACACCCUCUUAUCGGGCCCGCUCAUCAAAGUUUUUGAUAAUACUCGAGUAUAUCAUGGCAAUACUGCACGAGUAAUGCCGAACAAGAUCUUUCCAAUAGAUCAUGCUCUACAAAUAUCUCAUGGUUUGCUAAACUUAUCGACCAAUCCCAUGCUGGCUCGAUUCGCAAAGUUAGCCAACGAGUUUGGGCGUCCCCCGAAUAUGAAUACGAAUACGAAUAUAAGUCGAUGAGCAACGCUCAAAUCGACCAUUCCAAAUAGGAAUCACAAAUACGAAUCACAAAUACGGAUUCCAAAUAGGAAUCACAAAUACAGAUCACGUAUACGAAUCACAAAUACAAAUCACAUCCACAUUACCAUGUACAAGUCGGAUACGAAUUCACAUAGCAAAAUUCGAAUAUAAUUUCAUUUGAAAGAGAAUGAGUGCGAUAAAGUACACUCUCGUCUCAAAAUUUCAAAUUUACAUAACGGAUAAGAAACAGAUAACCACUUAACAACAAAUUCAUGCACUUGACACUCACCAAUCGAAAUAAGGGAGUAAGUGCGUAAACGAGCCUUUAGGUGUUCCCCUCGAGAUCCUCUUGAAGGUCUCCUAGAGCACCUGAGUAAAUAGUAAUUGUCUAUUACACACUAUCGCUUAAAGCCCCUAAUUAUCGAGAAAGAUUGUACACUUGUACAAUCUAAGAAAAUUUCACGAAAAUGAGCCUUGAUUACUCGUAAAUCGAGGCUAAAAAAAUGGGGUUUUAAAACACAAGCGAAAUCUGAUUUUCAUCUUUGAAAUCAAGUGUAAAACGGUUUAGCAAUAUCAAAGGAAAAUAGAGAGUUCGCAACUCUCAAUUUCCUUUAAGUUCGGAAAUUUCAGAUUUGUCACCCAUACUUUGACAAAUCGUAUCUCAUUCUCUACAAGUCCAAAAUUGGAAACUUUAUACCGUUGGAAACCUCUUGGAAAUUACUAAAAGUUCUUAGAAGACACUUUUCCAUGAAUCUAAGUGGAAAGUACUCAAAAAUGAGCUUGAAAUCACUGUUCCAGAAUGUUCAGGAUUGAGUUGGGGUUGGUUUUUCGCUAACUUUGGAAAUUUGGCAGAAUUCACUCGUUGCAAACUAGCCCUUGAAAUUUAUAACUCAAUUAGAGGUGCAAGUAAGGUUUAGGGAAGAACAAGCGGAUUGAGAAUUGGAGUUUUGAGCACCGAGAUACGGUAGCUCGAAGUUGGAAAAAUUCAAGUCUGGUGAACAAUUUCCAGAUUUGAGUUUCCAAAAAUUGGAACCUUAGCUAAGUUUCAAAACGAACUUGGAUUGGUAUAAAAUUUUGCAGUAUGUUACUCCUAUAUGAAAGGUACCGCUCUAUCAAAUUUCAGGGAAAAAUACCUUCGGAAAGGUAGUUAAUUAAUCAUCCAAAGUUCAGGAAAAUUUCUAAAGCAACCUGUCUUUUGACUUCAUUUCCCAAUUUAAAUCGUUUAAUCAAGAAAGCUAUCCAACCAUGGUUCAUUUGUAAAAUAAAGGUCUAAGAUACAUCCAUGAUACCUUUGGUAAGUGUUUAGCAUCAAGAACUUCAAUUAAUAAGAUCACUCCCAGGUUUUGUCCCAAAUCAGUCCAAGUAUUUCGGUUUUUCCAAAACAGGGCAGUCCUCUUGUUUUGGUCACAACUCAGUCAAUUUAACUCAGAAUGGGGCAUGGUUUAUGUCGUUGAAAAAUAAAUUCAUAGGGCUAUAAUAUCACAGAAGAAAUCAUUUCAAAAUUUUGCACCCAACUAGUUCAAAAUCGAGCAUCAAUUUGCUGCCUUAUCACUUCAUUCCAGUUGAACAGAGCAACAUGACAGCGAUCUUAAAAUGUUUGGUUCGGCUCACUCACAAAGAAUCAGAACAUGCAUUUUAUCUCAAAUUAACGCCUGGAAUGUCUAGUUUCCAACGCCACCAACGGCACAUGAUUUUGACAUCCGAGGACGGAGUUAUGGCCGAAACACCACCGCUGGUCAGAGCCAUACGUGAACAGUUUCCAGAUUUGCUAGUUUCACAAAAAAAAAUUCAUUUGCCCAACCAAACCUCAUUAUUUUUCAAUGAAAAUUUUCACACAUCUAAUACGUCAUAUAAACAUCAGAUUCAACCCAUUAGAUCAUUAAAAAUUGGCCUUAAAAUGGCCGAACAAGGCAGGGGCAAAAUCGGAAACUUUUGCUUCUUGCACCCAAUGAAAUUUCUAUCAAUUACACACCAUUAAUCCAUCAUUUUAACCACUAAACCAACAAUAUAUCCACCAUCAAUCAUCAAAUCAGCAACAACCCAAGAGUGGGAGUUCAUAGAGCCCACCAUCAAAAUUUUCCAACAAUACAAGCUACCCAUGUGAAGAUUCAAGCUCAUAUGUGUAAUUUAACCUCCAUAGGACAAGUUUAGAGUGUUGGAUCAUUACCUGCUUUGGUGGUUGUUCAAGUCUGAAUUUUCGGCCCUUUGAAGCCUGAAGAAAACCGUGGAAAUGAAGCUCUUCUCCUUGCCUAAGUGAAUCUCCAAGUGGUUUGUAAGUUGGAUGCAAAUUUUGAGAUGAAAUGGAGGAAGAUUGGUGCAAGAAUGAAGAAGCUUUUCUUCCUUUCUUUCCUUUGCUGUUUGGUCGGCUGUUUUGGUGUGAAAAUGGGAGUUCUAGCCGUGCACAUAAGGUGAGAAAAGAAGGGUUUUGAUCUGGUGUGAUGGGUCCACUAAAAGCUUAAGAAUGUGUGGACAAAAUUGCUCCAAAAGUCAACUAAGGAUAGUGCGCGAACGCGCGCGUUUCGUGCUCGUUUCCUCUCGGGUUUGUUUCACUUGUGCACUAAACCUCUAAUGCACUUCCAUUCAUACUAUUAUUAUUCACUUUUAAUAGUCUAAAAUAACGGUCUUAAAUCCCUUAAUUGAUCGCGCGCGUAAAACGCGUAUUUCCAAUUUUGCGCGAUAACGUUUAACUUUUAAAAAAAAUUCUUAUAACGAUUGUAUUACUAACUAAUACUUGAGCACUUAAACAUAAAAAUACCUAAUUUGAGACUAAUGUACAUGUCUCUAAUUUUUUCCAAACUUAUUGUAUCCUCGAUUCAAUUAUUUAUUCCAAUCGCAUAUUCACUAUUUUUACUUAACGAGUCUUCAGAAAUUAAAUUUUGAAACAAGUCACUUUAAAAAUAUAACUAACCCAUAGAUCCUUUUAAUUAGGUCUAAAAAGGUUAGAAAAUAAUAUUUGGGGCGAUUGGCCAAAUAAAUAAUUAAAUGAGCUGGAAUUUGGAGUUUAAAAUAGGUAAAUUUUUGUGAGUCUUUACAUGAGUCGAGUAUUAAUUCCUUAAUGAACCUUUCUUAAUCUACCAUUGAUCAUUGUUAACUCUCUAAUAUCAAUACACUCUCGAUUCAAAUAUAGUCUCGAAAAACAUGCACUCGUUGUUCCAAACUAAACGAGUUUUCGAAAAGUGAAUUUUUCUUACAAAACGCUUUAAAAAAUAUAAAUGAGGCGUCGUUCCAUAUAAAUGGAUUUUAAAUGAUCGAAAUAAAUAAUUUGGAGAAAAAUGAGUAAAUAAAUAUUUAAACAAACUACCAAUAUUCGGUAAAAAAAAAAAAUUUCGAGUCCUCACAGUUACCCUAGACGUAUCUUCACCUUUAUCUCUUUGAGCGGCUUGGUGAGCAUCAAACAUAAAUCCCCUAAUAGGGGCAUCUAAUUAAUCUUCAGUCCCAUCCGGUUCAAGAUUUUCAAGUACCACAUCUUCUUCCCCCAUAGCUCGUACAUUAUUCUUGUUAGGAUCCAAUCACGAAAUAAUCAACUAUUGAGAUAUCAAGUACAUAACAAUUUAAUGACAAACAAACCACAAGCAUGAAAAAUAAAAGACACGUAAUAUUUAAUAUGGUUCGAUUUCACCAUUGAGCCUAUUCCACGGAGAGAAACUCGUUCUUUAUUAUGAGAGGAAAACCCUAUAUAAGAAUAUAACUUGAACCCAAAUCUAACCCCUGUAUACCAUCUCUCAUCUCCCAAGAACUCUCUUUCACCCCCAUGUAUAAGGCUAGCCCUUUUGUGUGCCCCUUAUGUGUCUUUGUGUAGUAUGCAAAUCCAUCCAUUUAUAGGAAAUAUUAUUUGACCAAAACUCAAAUAACAACAAGAAACCAAUUCUAAUUUCUAAAUUUACAUAGAAUAGGAAAUAACUUCUAAUCCUAAACAAAAUAGGAAAUUCUUUGACUACUAUUUCAAAUAACUAAAAUUAAUUAGAAAACUAGUUACUUUCACACAAAACAAGAACCCUACCUAAAAGAAAUUGAACCAAUUUUCUAACAAAUCUCCAUCUUGGUGAAAAUUUCUUUUAGCAACCAUUUGUCUUCAACUACCAAAUAAUAUGGUAUCGAAUUACGCAUUCGAAUCAAUACAGUCUUAAUACCAAAUUGAUUCAAUCGACAAAUGAAUAUAUGUAGUUACCUAGAAUCCAACCUCCAAUUGACUCGUAAGAAGGUGUCUCAAUUCACCGUCUCCCUAUGUAACAUUUUUUCUAAUCACUACUUGCAACCAGGGAUUCCCUUCUAUGAGCUCUAACGCUAAAUAUUGAGAAAGACUAACUCCCAACAAGGUUCGACUUUACAGGAGAAAGAAGCGUCGAUAAGGGAACCGCCUUCAAGGAAGAUUUCAGGAAGCAUUUAUUCAAUAAGAUUGAGUGGAGAUUUCUUGAUAAAUGAAGUGGUAAAGUCACCAUACUUUUUCCCAUUCUCAAGACUGUCUCGCCACGUAUGGUUUUCAAGACUCCACCUAAAAUGAAAAACUCGAAACUAUCAGAGUCUUCUGGUGAAUGGAAAUUAAAUCUCUUUUUUUCUUUACAGCACAUGCCACACUACCCAAAAAACAUAACCAAAAUCUAAAAUCCAUCGGGAUGAAGUAUCAACCGUUGGAAGUAUGGGAAAGUCUUCAUCGAUUCAUGUCCAAAAUCAACAUUGGACUCCAUCUUUUCCUUGACCAUUGAAUCAGCUACCAAUCCAUUUGAUCUCAAUAGUUACCCAGGAUCCAAUCAUGAACAACCAAACUCUUGAUCCAACCAUUCGGUUUGUUGGGAUCCAAGUGCUUGUGAGCAGCCCAAUUUUCACAACCAAACUCUGAUACCACUUGUUAGGAUCCAAUCACGAAAUAAUCAACUAUUGAGAUAUUAAGUACAUAAUAAUUUAAUGACAAACAAAUUACAAAUAUGGAAAAUAGACGACACACAAUAUUUGAUGUGGUUCGACCCCACCAUUGAGUCUACGUCCACGGCGAGAAACUCAUUCUUUAUUAUGAGAGGAAAAUCCUAUACAAAAAUAUAACUUGAACCCAAGCCCAACCUCUAUAUACCAUCUCUCAUCUCCCAAGAACCCUCUCUCACCUCCAUGCAUAAGGCUAGCCCUUUUGUGUGCCCCUUGUGUGUCUUUGUAUAGUAUGUCAAUCCACCUAUUUAUAGGGAACAUUAUUUGGCCAAAACCCAAAUAACAACAGGAAACCAAUUCUAAUUUCUAGACUUGCAUAGAAUAGAAAAUAACUUCUAAUCCUAAACAAAAUAGGAAAUUCUUUGACUACUAUUUCAAAUAACUAAAAUCAAUUAGAAAACUAGUUACUUUUACACAAAUCAAUACUCCUACCUAAAAGAAAUUAAGCCAAUUUUCUAACAAAUCUCCACCUUGACGAAAAUUUCUUUUAACAAUUUUUUGCCUUCAACUACCAAAUAAUAUGAUACCAAAUUACACACUCGAAUCAAUACAGUCUUGAUAUCAAAUUGAUUCAAUCGGCAAAUGAACAUGUGUAGUUACCCCGAAUCUAGCCUCCAGUUGACUUGUGAGAAGGUGUCUCAAUUCACCGUCUUCCUUUGUAGGAUUUUUUCUCACCACCACUUGCAACCGAGGAUCCCUUUCUGUGAGUUCUAACUCUUAACAUUGAGGCAACCAAGUAGUAAAAUCACCAUAUUUCUUCCUAUCCUCAAGACUGUCUCGCCACAUGUGGUUUCCAAGACUUCACAUAAAAUUAGAAACUUGUAAUUGUCUGAGUCUUUUGGCACAUGAAAAUUAAAUCUCUUUGUUUCUUUAAGACACGUGCCACACCAUCCAAAAAACAUAACCAAAAUCUAAAAUCCACCGGGAUGAAAUAUCAACCGUUGGAGGUGUGAAAAAGUCUCCACCGAUUCACGUCCAAAAUCAAUAUUGAAUUCCACCUUUUUCUUGACCCUUGAAUCACUUGCCUAGAUUCACCGUAUAUCUCCAUACUUUUCGACUUUCUAUCCUUCACCAUCAAAUUUUCCCAAGCCAUUGAAACAAGAAUACCAGUCAUUAAAUUGUUCAAUUAGUAACAGCUACCAAUCCACUUGAUCUCAAUAGUUAACCAAGAUCCAAUCUUGAACAACUAAACUCUUGAUCCAACCAUUCAGUUUGUUGGGAUCCAAAUGCUUGUGAGAAGUCCAAUUUUGCAAUCAAGCUCUGAUACCAUUUGUUAGGAUCCAAUCACGAAAUAAUCAACUAUUGAGAUAUCAAAUACAUAACAAUUUAAUGACCAAUAAGCCACAAACAUGGAAAAUAGACGGCACAUAAUAUUUAACGUGGUUCGACUCCACCAUUGAACCUACGUCCACGGAGAGAAACUAGUACUUCAAGUAACUAAAACCAAUUAGAAAACUAGUUACUUUCACAUAAAACAAGAACCCUACCUAAAAGAAAUUAAGCCAAUUUCCUAAUAAUUCUCUUGAAUACUGACAAUAUCCCUUUGCUUUCUUUUUGGUGCCAUCCUGCAAACACAAAUUAGGUUAGGGCAAAAUCUACCUACACUAAGCUACCCAAUCCUCAACUGGUAGCAACAGGUAUUUGAACACGAAAAUCAAAACUAAGUCAAUCCACACUAAGGUUGGCCACCUGAAGUGUAAAUCAACUAAUUCCAAUAUUCUAUCCAACAUACACACUACAUUACAUCAAACUUUCAAUAAAUAUUCAUUCUUAAGGUACUAUAAGUAAGAUUCACACCUAGGCUCUGAUACCAAAUAAAUGUCACGCCCCAUGUCUGGAAUUUAACACCGCCACGCCCUAGACAAUGCUAAAGAUGUAAGCCAACAAAUUUCCAAAAUAAAUAUAUUUACCUUUAUAUAAACUUUCUAAAUCCGCAAAUACAAGAUCAUCCAUAACAGCAAUUUUGCGUCUUUCAAAAUAAAAGCAAGAUCAAACCUUCUACAAUAUGUACAAUAUUCGAAUCCUAUUAUAAGGUAUCUAAUAUAGAAGUACAAAAGUUAUCCUCUAACCAAAAGUCAUCUCCAUCUCCAUUACCACUCCCAAGUUCUAUCAAGGUCCACUUCAAUGAACUCAUCAUUAACUGCAUAAUUAUAACAAAGGGGUGAGCGAAAUCUCACUCAAUAAGUAGCACAUGUAUCUCAUUAUUGGCCUGAGCAUGUUACAUACAUAAUAUAUAUUUCAAACGCCAUUAACUUACACAUAUAACUUUAUAAGAACAUGGUCAUUAUAAACAUUUCAAUGGCAUAUCAUACAUCACACACAUAAAGGAGCUCAAACCAUAAGACAACAAUUGACCCUGGAUAUCUAGUUAUUAACUUAAUCGGUUAACACGGUUCAUAGUGCUAACUACAAUACGAUUAGCCUAUUUCAUAUUGCUAAUGACAACACAGAUAGAUUGUUUCAUAUACCAACUACUUGUGAGGAACUAGUCCCGUCAAAAGUCGCUUAAACAAGAGCUCAACAAACAUAACAUUUCAUUUUACAAAUGACCAUGGCAAGAGUAAUAACAAAUAUCACAAAUUAUACUUGGUCCUGCCACUUUAGCAAUUAGACAAGUAGCUUUCAAAAUUCAUCUUUCAAAAGAUAAAGGAUACGUGCAUCACUUACCUUGAUCCAAUGGAUACCCACGCUAGUUCAAGUAAUCAAAAAAAUGGCUACCUUAUUCAUCUAGACAUAAUAAUAAAAUAUUCAAUUACAAUCUUAAAGAUACUAAACUACUCCAAAUUAUCAUAAAAAGGAGUCUAAUACUACCCUUAAUGACUAAUUCCCAAAAAAGGAUCAUUUCCUCAUCAAAGCAGGACAUAAGGGUUAAUUUUAAAGGGUCACUAACUUUAAGAAAUAUAGAAACAUGGCAAGAUAUUUACACAGAGUUAAAGCCCCCUGAAUCUAGUUUCCAACGCAACAAACAACACCUAAAUCCGAGUUUCCUACAUCAAGUUAUGGCCAAAAAACUGAAAUAUGGCUGUACAGAAAAUUUAAUCCAUCCGAGAAUUAUAGCCAAUCCAUCUAAGGAUUAUAGCCAUGGAUUUCUAGCACGUUUUCAAGGCAAAAACAAGUUCCAAAUUUGAUAAUCAAGUUCCAUUUCCAUCUCAAAUCAUCUUCCAACCUCCAUAGUUGUCAAAAUCAACAUAUUUUAGCUCCCAAAGUCAUGCAAAUACAUAAACAAUCUUGAAAAUGAAUUGUUAGCUCAAGUAAUUCUUUCCCUCAACAUUUCUCCUUUUUAUAUUGAUGAUAGCCCUAUACCCAUAUGAAAAUAGAGACCAAAACAAACUUUAUACAUCAUAGCCAUGGAAGUUAACCAAAAAUUUGAACCAAAUACUACCCAAUCAAAGAAAACCAAAAUCAUGUUCAAGGUUUCAUGAAAAUAUGUUGGUUAGUUGUCAAAGUAGAAUCUCCUUACUCCUCACUCCUUACUUGUGCUUGAUUUGUCAAGAAUUCUUCUUGAUUGUAAGGAAAAAGGAGAGAAAUAAGAAAGGGUUUUGUUGGAGAAGGAAGGAAGAAAGGAAAUGAAGAAGAUGAAGAAAUUUUUUGACAAGGAUGAAUAGUGAAAUCUCACUAUCACUUUAUUCUUUCAAAAUUUCACUUAUUAACACAUUGGUCACUCAAUUUAACAUCUUUCACUUUUCACCACUAAAUAGUAUUUCUUCGCAUAAAAUUCUCUACAAGACACUUGGGUAUCACAAUAAUUGUUAGGACCAACAAUUCUUAUAGACUGUCUGAGACAACAGUAUUCAUGGAUAUAAAUGAAAGCAAGAACAUUUGAUAUAGCGCUAGGGAUUUUCGUAUCAUCCUUGACAUUUAUAUGCAUCUCUUCUAUUUGGAUAUUUAUCUACAGCGAGUCUUUCUAUCGAUAAUGCCCAACUAAAUAAAAAAGAAAAGACAAUUUGCAUUUUUUCUUUUUUCUCUUUUUUUUCCCCAAUGUGUCAAACAGCAAGAAUGGUAACCUCCUGUUGGAUCCUUAAUCCAACGUUGGACUUAUAUGUGAAUAAUUAUGUAUUUCAAACUAUCAAAUAAGGUUAAAUUCAAUUAAAAUGAUCAAAUAUGAUUUGGACUUAAUGUAUCUAAUAAGGUGUGGGUCUUUAAUGUGUAGAGACUUAAAGGUAUUUUCUAUUUCUAUGAUGGAUUGAAAUAUGAAUCUAAAAGAUAACGGGAAUGCUAUCUAUAAAUAGGGAUAUGGUCCCAGGUCACAAGUAUUCUUAUUGUCAUAUUUUCUAGUACCACAAAACAGUUUUUUCCUAAUAUCCCAUCAUCAGAAAACAUACCAGAGAGAAACUAAAGUGCUCUCUCAAGAAUUGGUAAAUACGUGUUGACUUAGAAGGCUAUCCUAAAAUCUUCAAGGAUUCAAGUGCCAGUUUGUUAAUAUGAAUUUAGGUACGCUUCCGCAUUUAUAUUACAGUUCUAUUCAAAUAUCUAAUAUUGGGAUUCUGGAAAUUCCUACACCUUCUCCCUUUGAAAUUUCAGAGAACAAAACCAAAUAUUUCAUUCCUACUAAGUUAUGGGCACGCAUUACAUCAUUCCUACUAAAUUUAACUAUCUUAACAACUUAGAAAAAGCUAGCUACAUAUACAUUGUCUUCUUACAUAGAUAAAAGAUAUGCAGGGCAUAUAGAAAGAUCGUCCAAAUGGGUUUAAUUUGCUGCUUUUAAGCUUGACAUUUGUAAGACUUAUGACCGGAUAUCAUGGCAAUUUCUAUAGGCUGUUCUAAGAAAAAUGGUUUUUCCAGAAUCCAAGAUUAAUAUUGUUUUGAAGAGUAUCUUUUUUGUCCCUUACUCUAUCAUAGUUUUUUUUUUUUUUUAACUUAGGGUUAUCCGAACUUUUUGGCCAACUAAUUCCCUAAAACUGUGUAGAGUCUUAUUCUAAGGAUACAUAGUAAGAUAGUACACAGGAUUCGAUUACGGGACAUGUUAGUAACUAUCAAACUACGGAAUCAGUCGAACUACCCGCGGGGCACUCAAUCGUAGUUAAUGGAGUACUAUCAUCGGUAAUAUAUCCUACCAGAGGCCUUCGCCAGGGAUGCCCCCUCUGAGCAUCAUAUCUCUGCUUUAUACCAAGAGGCAUUGUCAGCUGCAUUAUGUUCUUUGGCAUCUAUAGAAUCUAUGUCCCCAAAUAUGAUUUUGAAAACCUAUACUUUGACUUACAAAAUCUUAAUUUUUUUUCAAAUCCAAUAAAGAUGGAAGGGAAAUAAAAAUAAACGAAUAAAAAGAUGGAAGGGAAAUAUAAAAAAAAAUAAGAAACAAAAAAUACAAAAUCUUUUUUUGACUACAAAUAUCAUUAUAAGUUUUUAAUCUAAAACUUUAAUGGUAUUUUCUAUUUCUUUUUUAUCUAUUUUUUUAUUUCAAUUUCUUCCUUUUUAUGUUUAGAGGAAAAAAUAAGCAACGAAAGGAUAAAUUUAUCAAUUUAUUAAUUUGAUUUUGCAUUUUACCGCUGACUCUAAGUUUUAAUGAAAAAACUAAGUCACAUUUUAUUUCAAAUCAUGAGGAGGUUAUAUAAAGUUUUCAUACCGUAGGAUGGUUAUGUUGUAAACCACCAAACCAUACGGGGUAAAAGGUAAUUUACCCAUUAAUCUAUGCCCACUAAGUUUCGUUGGAGCUAUAAUGCAUGAAAAAAAAAAGCAUGCGCUUUUCAGCAAAAUGGGGACAUAGACAAAACGCAAAUUUGAAAGUUUCAAUCUCAUAAACAUAAUAACCACCGGAUGUUUUCAUUCAUUCAUAGUGAAAACAAGAAGAUCCGCAGUCCUAGUUAAGCAAGCAAAGCUUAUGAGUCAGUUCAUUCAAAAACUUUCGGAAUUACCUGAAGAAUGAUGAGCUUUGGUGAUACUUUUUUCGGCAAACUGCAAGCUUUCUACAAUUAAGGUUGGAAUAAGAUUGGAUACAAACGUCCUCUUUAAAUACGAGACAUCAGUUUGUAAAGAGGAAGUUAUAUGGUUCUCUUUGGGAAGCUGCAAAUUUUGGUGAUUUGAAACCAAUUUGAAAAUUGACAAAAUUCGUGCUUUCCUUGGCAGCUACUGGCUUUGAUUGAAAGAGAUGAUCUUGGCAAUGGCUAUAUUGAGUCAAAAUCAGACCGUAACGAUCUUGGCUAUGGAAUUUGGAAUGUUUUGUUUCCACUUUCCAAAUGGUAGUUGGCUUGUUGCAAGAAAGAAGAAAAAUUGCAGUGGUCUUCAUUGGCAAAGUUUGAUAAUAUCAUGGUCAAAAUAUCUAAUUGCUCACGUGGGACAUCUUUUUGUAAGUAUUACUGUAUUAGUUGUCUUUUAACUACUUGUUCUAAUUUAUAGGUCAGGCUUUCCAUUAAGGAAUUGAAGCCACCGCCUUGCACUCCAAGGUGGUUCUGUGCACUAAUCAAAUUGAUUUAGAUGCAUUACAGGGUUAGCAAACAAAGUUGUGGGCUUUCAAAUGAUUCUAAUGGAAUUUACUAAUGAAAAGUCUUGCAACUCAGGACUCGUACUUCAAGCUUUGUGUUUGGCAAUUGUCAACCAAUGCCUUACCAAAUCUUAAAGCGGGCAUUUGCAGAAAAUAAAAAUUUUAUUUAAUUUAUUUAUUCAAGAUUUAAUAAAUUAAGUUGAUUUUAAUUAAACUAAAUUAAAUUAUGAAAGUCCUUUAUUUUUGAACUAACAAAUUGGACCAGUAUUAUGUGGGCUGUAAAAUCAAUUAAAUAUGCAAGGUCCAUUGAAAUUAAAAUGGAUUAAUGGAAUCAUUAAUUCACAAUGGACUGUUGGGCUAGCUUAUUACUAAAAUCAAUAUUAAAUAGAUUUCAAAUUGAACCAGUAUUAAACGAAUUGUUGGGCCAGCUUAUUGUUAAAGCUUUUCACAUAUAUUGUUAUAAUAAAAUAUUUCAAAACAUCCGUAAAAAUAGUUAAUCCAAACAGAGACAUGGUUUUUUUAUAUUACUUUAAUUAAUUUUUUUUUUCUUCUUUGGCUGCAAAAAUUACGCACCACCAUAGGAAUAAUUCACUUAAUGAACUUCGGAGGUCUCUGACUAAAAAUAGCGGAGCAAUCAUUGAUGGCAAUUUGGCAAUGGAAAUGAUGGCAUUUGACCAUGUUAUUAAUGGCACUUUAGAUCUAGCCUCAAAAAAUGCUGAUUCUAAACAUGAGGAUGGUUUCUUAGAAAAAGGUUGUCCUCUUUGUUCUCUUGCUACGGUAUUUGAAGACAAUCACUAUACGCAAGCAAAAAUGCCUAAUCCCUCCUUUCACUCAGUCGCUUCAUUUUUCUUCAUUUCUCACUUGUUUGUUUUUUGGAUUUAUAGAAGAAGUGCCUUUUAAAUUUACAGAACAAGAAGAAGAUGAUGAAUGCGAGAGAAAAGAACCCUGUGGUCAUAGCACAUUGUGCUUCCUAAAUUGCCCCUUCAUUAUGUCUAGUGAAUCACACAACGGUGGAAUCUGACAGAAUGACUCAGGAUCAAAAUACAUACUUUAGAUAGUUUAGUAGCCAAAAUCAAAUUGUUAAUAGUUCAGUGACCAAAACUCAAUGAUAGCAAAAGUUUAGUGGCUAAUGAGGUAAUUUGCUCGAAAAAUAAUGAUAGAAGCAGCGAAGGGUGAAAUUUGGAUGUUCAUGCUACUGAGAAAGUUUUUGUAUGACUGAUUCCCUGGAGAUUGCUAUCACUUGAGGUAGGGGAAACAACAAUGGAGGCUCUCUGUCUUGGAGGUGUCUGAAGCAAAAAGUCCUGGGCAGAAAUGUGAAACAAAAUCUGAAUUGUGGGCUUGUGUUUGCUGCUGAUGACUGUAUUAUUGUCCACCGAAGUCUUCCGCCCAAACAAGGUGACCCUCCUAUUAUCCCUGCCUCAUUAUCUACUUCAUGUUUUGCUUCUACUAACUCCCCUACCACAUAAAACGAGUUUUGGGUCGAGGGUUAGGUUAGGGCGCUAGAACUCGAGAAGGGGAUGAAGAAGAUUGAAGCUUCUGUGGUCUGGAGCUUAGGAUUGAGGAUGCUGGAGUUGGGUUUGCGUUUUGCCCGCCAAUGAUCACCCUGAGUUGCUUAAUUUGGUAGAGAAAAAUCAGAACAUGGGAGUGGCCUGGAGGCAGGUUACUCCAUGCCAGCGACCUAAUUAAUAUUGAUAUGGGUAAAAUACAGUAAACCCCUCUAUGGUUAGGAAAAUAAAUAUGAAACUCCCUCAUUGUUUAAAAAUACCCAUUUAACCUCCCUUGUGCUUUGAACAUCUUUGGAUUUUGACUGCUAACAGGUUGGGAAGCCAGUAAUAAUAUAAAAUACCAAAAAUACCCUCAUUUAUAAUAUCUCAAAAGGCACAGCUGCAAUUAGUAGAUCUUGAGUGGUACUUCAGGUGCAGAGAGAGAAAGUGGAUGAAACCCUAAACCUAUAGCACUAUCUUCUUCCAUGACAUCAAUAAACUACAGAAUUUUCGUGUGUAUCUCACAGAUGAAGAAGGCAUUUUUGUGCAGAUUGAUCGAGGGUUGCGAAGCAUCGAGCAUAGCGAUUAACAAGGUAAUCUCAUAUCUGAACCCUAACUUUACUUGUGUUGAUUGGUUUCAUGGUAGACGUUUGGUAGUAUAUUGUUGGAGAUAUUUCGAAACUUGGUAAAAGAAGUGAUAGCUCUGGCUUAGUCAAAAGUAUUGUCGACAAUCUUUAUCGAAAAAAUUUAUAAAAAAAAUUGCUAAGUAUGCAAAAAGGAGAAAAGAAUGGGUCUUUGCGGAGUAAUCUAGACUAUUGUGGUCAAUACUGGUAUUGAUUAUGUUUUUUAACCUUUUAGAUGAGUGUGUUAAUGUUGACUAUGCUUUUUUGAAACUAAAAGUGUAUGAAAUAUUGCCUGUCGUUUUCGAUACAUCUGAAAAUUAAAUUAGUAAAUUUAUCUCUGUUACUUUGGUUUAGAUGUAUAAGAAUGGAAGAUAAUCUGUUUAAGAGUAUAGACAUAUACAUGCAUUAUGGUGGAAAUUUCAAAUGAAACUGAGAAUUAGAUACACCGGCGAACAAGUGAGGAUAUUUUGUGGAUGGAACCCUGAUGAAUUUUCUCCAUUUGACUUUCAAAAGAUGUAUGACACAAUUGAGUGUGGUGUAAGCAAUAUGAAUUUCUAGUACUCUAUCCCCUUUCAUGACCUUGAUGUUGGUGUUGUUAGUAUUAAGGAUGAUGCCGACAUCGAAUUAUUGACAAUAUGUUAUGAAAGGCUUCCAGAAAUACACAUAUAUGCUGAGAAAGGGCCUGAACCCAUUGAAGUUGUCUUUGGAUGAAUAAUUAUUGUACAAGAAAGUGACUGGUGAUAGCUUACUUGCACUUCCAUUUCGUGAUAAUUGGCAAUUGGUGUGUUCAGAUUGGAUUAUCCGCAUUUGUUAAAGGCAGUGAUAACUUUGACCCUACAAUUAUUGGGAAUGAGUACAAUAAUGAUAUUUCACAUAUUAACUAUAGAAGAAAAGGCAUCUGUGAUGAAGUGUCAUCACAAAUGGAGUUGGAUCCAAUUUUUGUGGGACCACAUAGAGAGCAGAUACAUGAUUAAACUAAUAAAUCCAAGUGGAAGAAAACAAUAAAUGGUAAAAAAACUGAGUGGCAAAGAGUAAAAUUAACUGCAAGGAAGUUAGUCCAGCAGUUAGUUAAAGAGAAGGAAAAAGUUGAUACAACUACAGAGGUCUAGCAGUCUCCCACAAGAAAUUCAGCAGAAGAAACAACAUUUGGGACAGAUCCAACAGAAGAAACAACUAAUUUGAGGGGAGAAAAAAUAGCUGAUGAAGGUGGAGAGAAAGAUGAUGUCGUACCAGACUAUUUAGAUCUCCCGGACUGGCUAAGAGAAGGACUAGAAGGGCCUAAAGAUUAUGAUAUAUUUGCAGGCUUAAAUGGUCAAGAAUCAACACAGGCAUCUAUUAAUUCAGGAUCUAUAAAUUUUGUUAGAGUUGGUUCAGAGUAGCAACAAGAAAAUUAGCAAGCCAAAGCUAGAAAACAAGCUGGUAUAGAUCAACAACAAGAAAAUUAGCAGGCCUAAUCCAGAAAACAAACUAGUUCAGAGUAGCAACAACAACAUCAGCAAUCGAAAUCAAGAAAACAAGCAAAGAAACAGACCCAUGAAGAGAGGAGUCAACCAACACCAGGUGUGGAUGAUAGAUGCCGUGUCAAUGAGCAGGAAGAGAACUGGAAUGACCUAGUAAAGGAUGAUGAAAAGCUAUUUGACAAUGGGAUAAGAUCUGAUGAAGAAAGCAUCCCUGUUUAUAGUUACUUCAAUGCGGAGAAAAAGUUUAGGAAAGAGCACUUUGAACUAAAGGUUUGACAGAAAUUUACUAGCUUCUCCAAAUUUAGGGAGACUUUAGAGGAGUGGGAAAUUAGGGAGGGUAUGAGCACAAAUACAUCAGAAAUGAAGGCUCUCGAAUCACAACUAAAUGUGCGAAGGGGUGCAGUUGGAGAAUUCAUGCAUGCAGAAUCCAGAGAACAAAGACUUUUAUGAUCAAAACUCUUAAGCGAGAGCACCAUUGUGGUAGGGAUUAUAGCAAUAGACAUGCUACUUCAACAUAUCUAAGUGAAAAAUUUCAGGCCAAGGUGAGGGAUGAUUGUGGGUGCAGUACUCCGGGCAUAGUAAAUGAGACAAGAAGACUAUUUAUGUUAGACAUUAGUGGGAAGAAAACUGCCAGAACAAAGCAGAAAGCAUUAGAGGCACUUAGGGAAAAUGACAUGAAGCAAUAUCACAGGCUUUGAAAUUGUGUAGCCACUGUAAAAAAGUCCAAUCCUGAUACUCAUAUUUCACUGCAAAUUGAUAGGCAAAGUGUUGAGGAAAAAGCUACAUUUCAGAGGAUAUACUAUGGAUUAGGUGCUCUGAAGAAUGGUUUUUUAGAAGGUUGCAGACCUAUAAUAGGACUAGAUGGCUAUUUCCUAAAGAGUCCCUUUGGAGGUUAGCUGCUUACAGUCAUGGGUAGGAAUGCCAAUGAAAAUAUGUUUCCUAUUUCCUUUACUAUUAUUGAGGUAGAGAACUAUGACAACUGAUAAGUGACUAAUUUACGUAAUAAUUGGAUGAUAUUUUAUAUUAUUUUUAGUCACUUUGGUUAUAUUAUUGGAAUAAAAUGAAUCAUUUUGGCUAUAAUUGGUGAAAAAUGCUUUUAAGUAAUUAAAUGAAGUUUUUAUCAUUUUUUACUUGGAUUUUGUGCAUUUUGACAUAUUUUUGUAUUUUGGCUAUAACUUGAGCUAAAAUGAUCGGAUUGAGAGAAUUCUUAAACCAAUUUGAAGAUAAGAGAUAGAUCUACAACUUUGGUGAAGACAUCUGAAUCCAGUUUGAAGGUUUUCCAGGUCAAAAAGCCUAAUUACAGUAGCUAAUUUCCAUUGAUCGAAGCUGAAACAGAGCAAUGAGCAGUCAAAGGUGUUUUGGUCAUUUUGCAGCCUACACAGAUCCAAAUGAGGUGAUUCUUGAUGCAUUGGAAAGCUAACCCAAGGGGCUACAAGUUUUAUGUUUUGGUCAACGGCUAAAUAAGCUUUUAUCAUCAAGAAAAGUUCAGUUGAAGUUGAUGCAAAAGUGGAGCAGAGCUGGAAAUUGAACAAAAGUGCACCAAAAUGUCACUGUAGUAAUCCGGCCGGAACUUGGCUGGAUUUGUGGCCGGAUUUGUGGCCGGAUUGUGGUCAAAGAAGGCUGCUCUUUACGCGAAAAACUCAAUUUCACCUCUACUAAGUCACAUGUAAUACUAGACAUGUGAGAAACAUUACCAGCUGUAAAAGGGAAGUGUAGGCCUCAUUUUCUUGACUUCCUUUGUCUUGAAAUAGUCAAAUCUUGCAAGCAGAAUGGGAUCAUCAUAUGGGAGAAUAGAGAGACAUACGGGAGAAACUUGGAGUCUGCAAAAAUGUAAUUCUUCCAUUUUCCUUAGCGUAGGAUAGUUUUAGUUUUAGACAGUUUAUCCUUUCUUGUAUGUUAGCUACAUGAAGAGGAAGAUGGAGGAUGAAGAAGGCAAGAAAAUGAACUCAUGUGACAAGGGUUACAUUCCUUCCAAACUCUUUAUCUUUUGUACUUGAUUUUAUUGUUUAGUUAAUAUACAAGUCUGGAUUUUAUGUUAUUUAUGUGUCUCUAAAAUUUAUGCCUUGGGUUUGGUUGAACUUCCUAUGAUUGUUAGUGUUUAUUAUUUAACUAUUUGAUUGCUAUGAUUUGAGCAAGUUAUUUAGUACUUUAGCUCUUUAAAAUCAUGAUUAAUCUGGUAUCAUUGAUUGUGAUUAUCUAAGGUGUCGUUUUUGCAAUGAAAAUUGAGAUUUAAUACUAUUUCAAGAAGUGCUAAACACAGGGAGUACACUCACGAAAGUAGAGGUGCACCUAUGUGGUUUUUAGUGAUUCAUUUCAUGUAAUUCACUGAAGAAAUGAACUUGUAGCUAAUUUCAUAACCAUGAGAAUAGGUAUGGAUUAGUUAUAAGUAUAAUUGAUUUACUACGAAAGUAGGAUUCAAAUGCAUAAGGAAAUUACACCAUAACUAGCCUAGAUGUAGUACUCAAUGAUCCAAAUAUAGCACUUGCAUGAGUAGUUAGGGAUACCACAACCUAAUGAGCUUUUAUUUGUUAUUUUGUAUAAUUUCAGUAGGUUAAAUUUGUUAUAAUUCAUUGAUAGUCUAAAUAAUAGAGAAGCUUUAGUAAUACCGGUAAUUGUUCACUCUUCCCUGUGGGAUCGACCCAAUAUAUACCCAAAACUACUAGUUGACCUGUAUACUUGCAGUGAACGGGUGUAAUUCGAUUUUUUUUUAACUUGUACGUAUAUUAAAAUCCCGUCAACAACUAGAGCUAGUUUUUGAGAGAAUUAAUCACCCAAAUUGGAGAAGGAAACAAAGGAAUGGCUUACACUUUCAUUUCGGAUAGGCAAAAGGGUCUUGUCUAUGUAAUUGAGGCGCUGUUCCCUGAAUUAGAGCACAGCUUUUGCCUAAAACACAUGUUCAAGAACUACAAACAAAGAUUCAAGAAUCAAAACCUUAGAGACAUGUUCUAGGAAGUUGCUGCAGUAGCAAGUAUGCCAGAGUAUGAAACUGCCCUAUCAAAUCUUGAAAGGGUUGACCCAAAGGAAGGUGACAAACUAACAAUUGCAGGAUGGCUCAAACGGUUGCCUCUAAAGCUUUGGUCCAGAGCCCACUUUAGUACUAUUUGUAGAAGUGACACGUGCAUCAACAACAUUAGUGAGUCAUGGAAUAAUUACAUUCUAAAGGGUAGAGGUGAGCCAAUAAUAACAAUGCCGGAGUAGAUUCGGAGGAGAUUAAUGCAAAGGUUGGUAACCAAACGAGAGGGCAUGCUGAAAUAUAGCAGCACUUUAUGUCCAAACAUUCACGAGAAGUUAGAGAAACUGAAGAUAAAAGCAAGAAACUGUGUCGUGGUUUAUGGAGGAAAUAGGAAUUUGGAAGUUGAUGGCUAUGGAAGGACUAAUGUCAAUUUGGAUAUAAAGACAUGUACCUGUAGUCAUUUUCAACUUAGUAGAAUUCGAUGGGUGCAUGUGGCUGCUUGCAUUCAAAGCAGAAAGUUGGAAUUCGAGCAAUUUGUUGAUGCUUGUUACUAUAGGGAAGUAUAUUUAAGGGCCUAUAACUUCACAAUUGGUCUUGUUCUUUCGAAGCAAUUCUAGGUGGAUAGCAAAAUGCAGUAUUUGAACCCACCAUUGGUGAAAAAACAACCUAGUAGGCCAAAGAAACAGAAGAAGAAGGGUCCAAAAGAACCUACAAAUCAGCAUAAAGCAAGUAAGAACGGGUCUGGCAGUCUACUGGCCGAGGUGUUUGAAAUUUAGACAUAACAUUAGAACCUGCAAAUCAGCAAUUCACCCUAAGUCCAAGCUAUACAAGAUAAUGUAACAUUUCAGAACCAAAUCAUUUCUCUAUUUUGUUUUGUUGCUGCUUAUACAUCCAGCCAUUUCGAUGUGAACUAUAAGCACCUAAAUGUGGUCUAACAGUUUCAAAUGCAACAUUCUGGCUUCUGUAGCUCAGGCUAGUGUCGCAAGUACUACUGCUACUACUCUUUCACAGGUACUAGUUCUCAAUUGCCUAUUUUUGGGUAUUGUGACCUGCUUACACACUAAGCAGUGCCACUUAUAAGCAGGAACCAAGUUAGCCUAUAAGUGGUACCAAUCAAGAAAGCUAGAAGAGUAAAUCUUCAAAGAGGAAGCAACCAGCUACAGGAAUGUCAAGAUUGCAACAUUGUGGCUCUAAGAGACCAAAAACAUGAACUAUAGUUAUCUCUCUUUUGUUUGUCGAAUAUACUGGUUAUGUUAACCACAUUGAUCCCUUCUGGGAUUGAAUCGUAAUAUUUAUUGAAACUAGAAAACUCAGAUUUUGGUUAUGUUUUGGUAGAUUGAUACCAUUAUGGUAUGAAUGUAGUAAUAUGCUUCAUUUUUAUGGCAUUCGUGGCAGUAUUGCUGGUGACCCUUUUUGGGAUUGGAUUAUAAUAUUUACUGAAACUAAAAAACUCAAAAUUUUGGCCUUAUUAUGGUAUAUUGAUACCAUUGUGGUAUGGAUGUGGCAAUAUGCUAAUGGUAUCUUUGAAAUAGAUAGGUGAUAUCUUUACUAAAAAUGAUUUAAUUUGACAAGUUCAUUGCAAUGUAAUCUCCAGUCUUUCAAUUUUUUUGUCAUGUAUUUUUUAAAUGUCCUGCAACAAAACAAUGUAGCUUCAUUCGUUCAUCUUAAUUAAAACCAGAAUGUCUACUUCAUUACAUCCAAUUGAAACUAGAUGUGGCAACAUGUUGGACAUAACAAAAUCUACCAUUGUGCCCAACUCCCUCAUCUACUACACAUUUUUUAUACUAAUUUGUCCUGAACAUUCAUCUCAUACAUAUAACAACUAGUGACAAAAGAGACACAACUACAGACACCAUCAUCAUCAUCUUCAUUAGCCCCAUCAUUGUUUCGACAUUGUGAAUCUUUGACUGUAGUGUCUCAUAAUCAUAUUAUAGUUAUUACUUUCCAUCCCUUGCCCAGAGAUGAAAAAUCUUUCCGCCAUUGCAGAUCCAGUUGGUGAAACUCCUUCCAUGUAUGGAUUUUGGCAGGAUGAUUCAUUAGUGCCUCCCUCUCUACUAAUUGGGUUGCAUCAUGUCCAGAAUGAACAAGCACCAUUUUCACAUACAAAAUACAACAUAUCUUUUGAUGGUUUUUUAGAUUCCACUAUCUUAAUCUUUGCUUUAUUCUUGCAAAAACAUCAUCAAUUUUGGUACCUUAGCUUGACAUUUUCGGUUUUUUUCCUUGAACAAAGCUAUGUUGUGCCCUCCAAAGCUACGCUCUUAUGAUUUUUGUCUUAAUUUUGUGUCUCUCUGUCCAAUUUUUCCAUUUGCAGAAUAACAACUAUGGUGGGUUUCAUUUGUAAGAGACAUGGAGAGAAAAAUGGGAAUGAAAACUAGUCUCUUUCAGUCACAUGCGGCCAUUAGGUCGCAUCAAUGUCACUUGCUAGCUUCCUAGCCGGUUAGCAGGUAAAAUCCAAAGAAAUCCAAGGCACCGAGGGAGGGUUAAGUGGGUGUUUUUAAAUAAUGAGAGGGUUUUGUGUUUAUUUCCCUAACCAUAAGGGGGUUUACUGUAUUUUACCCUAUUGAUAUUGGUGAGGUGGAAUUUGGGGCAGAACCCCUCUAAGAAUUUGUGUUUCUCCCCAGUGUCUCAAGAGGUAAUCAGGCCCUGCUUGAAUUCUAACCCUGCUGGUAGACCUAGUUUGGAAGAACUAUUCAGGGUUAUUUGUUUAAGGACCUUAAGCCAUUUGAAAAGGUGGUAGGGAAAAUCUUUGAGGUGCGCAUUUUUUAUGGUAAGGGCACCUACAAACUGGUGAAAAUUCUUGGCCACCACCAGGGGGAAUGUCUGGUUUACCAAGCCAAGUAUGAGCCCAUCAAAAGCACUGAUCACUCUGUGGGUUUGAAGGUAAUGGAGAAGGAGAAGUGAGUUGCUCCAGCAAUCAGCUGAGAUCAGUGUGGAUGCUAAUUCCCAUCCGUGUAUCAUCGGGGUUAUAAACGAAUUUGCAAGCGGUACAAGUUAUUGUGCCUCGAUGCCCUUAUUUGAUAAGGGUUCAUUGAGGCUUCUUUCAAGGAAUCGAUGAAAUGAUGGUUGACCCGACGAUUGUAUUGCCCUGGUUCGGAUGGAACCCUUAAAAGGUCUUGGUAUCCUCCAUGAAAAUCAUAUGGUUCUCAAACGUGCCAGUCCAGACGAUAUUUUUUCUGUAGGAAUCCUUUAUGCAUUGCUUUGGGUCAUGAUGCAACUCUGUGUCAUGCUUGGAAUUCUGACAAUGCUAAAAAUUCAGUGAUAAAUUCAACGAUUGAUGAAUUCAGUCAUGCUUCAGAAGUCUAUGAUACUGGGGAGGCUUAUUCCUCGAAGGCUGACAUAUGGCUCCUCAGAUUAACUGCUUUGGAGUUGGCCUAUCACCGCAUCCCUGUCAAGACAAGAGCAGGCUUAAUGGUUGUUAUACAUCAAUCAAAACAAUUGUUUGCCUACAGGACUGAAGCACCGCUUGUCUAGGGAGAAACGAGACAGUUCGCCAGCAAUUUCGGUCACUUUGUCAGCCUAUGCCUCCCUGAAAAUCCAGCACAAAGACCAUUAGCUAUCCAGCUGUUGGAACAUCCAUUCUUGAGAAGUUGCACUAGUCUUGAAUGUUUCGAUAAGGUGCUUUAAGUAAUAUGGCCAUUUUGAAGCUUCUCCUCCCCUGAGUCUGCUUGAAGUAUUUCGUGUUUUCGACUUAUUGUUUUUGAUUCUUAAAGGUGCUCAAGUAAUGUGGCAAGUUUGAAAAGUUCUCCUGCCUAUGUUAAAAUGAGAAAUUUCAUAUUUUCGGUGUACUGUUUUUGUGCUCUUAAGUUUAUCUUGCUUACUUUUUGACAUCUUGUGAAAUUUAAGUAUUUAGAUUUUUUUUUAAAAUUUUGGGUUAAUUAUUGACCUUUUGAAAUUGAGAAUGCUUGGGUGUUGGUGUUAUAACAAUUUUUUUUGGGUUGCUUCUUCUCAAAUUGUUACUUGGGAGCUUUAUUUUCCCCUGAUAAGAAGAAGAUGAGGCAUCAACAAUUAUUAUCCCUGGCAAACCAACAUUUAUUUGCAACAUGUCUUAGUAUAAUGAUGGAAUAUUUUAGUGCCUUCAGAAUCAUAUUGCAUUUGGUUAUGCAGGUAAAAUUUUCAUAGGAAGGGGAAAAUUAAAAGUAGAAAUGCCUUUAAUAAUCAUUUCACCAGUCAAUAAUUCCUUCACAAUGCCAAUUGACAAUGGAUGUUGAAACUUUGAACGCAUAAAACUACUUUAUUGAGAGGCAAUUGGUGACAUUGUGUUUACUGAAGUGAUUCUUUGCAAUGCUACAGAACGUAUGAACUAGUUAUAAAACCAAACCGCAUUGAUAGCCUCUACUCGUGUCCUACCUCGUGAGAGCUAGAUUUGCUAAUACUUUGAAAAUUAAAGUUUUUUCACCAUUUUAUCAUUUUUGGCACUGACGGGCUAUGUUAUUGCAUCUGGAUAAUCCACCUAAUUCUAUCCUAAAAUUCUAUGCAGUUGUGUUUUUCUUCUUCAUCUCCUCAGAUCUUUUUUCUUUUUUCCCCCCCUUUCCUCUCUGUUUUGAACUUAUGCCUCAUGGUAUGCCUAACUUGCGACCUUCAUAAUGAUAUGGCCUAUUUCUUAAUGUCAGUUUGCUGGCGCCUUCAAGCAAUCUCAAGUUCUUAGGAUCAGAGAGUUUGUCCAAAAUGGUCUUAUUUCUGUAGCUCUUUUACGGAAUAUUCCAUUCUGCCGGAGCAGCAGACCUUUUGGCAAAAUGUACUUGUGGCUUCAAUGUUUUGGAGCAGUUAGUCUUGCCUUGUCCUUUUUUGCAAUAUCUGCUGGAUUUGAAUUCUACUUAACAUCCUCGAGAAAGAAGAACAACUUGUAGUUUCCACUCUAGACGUGUAUUAUUGAGGUUGACGUUAGUCUGUUUUAGUUCUUUGAUGCUUGCUAAAUUGUGUGUUCAGUGCUUUGUACGGUUGUGUGACUUUCUUCAAGCAAUCUGUGCAUUGUUGUUUUCUCAUUCAGAAAACUUGCAAUCCUUAAUAGUUGUAAGAAAUGGAUUUUCUGUCUCCUGAUUUCAAUUAAACAUGUAUGUAUGUGUAUCUAGUCUUUCAAAAUGGAGCUUCUGAAGUAUCAGCAUAUUUUACACUUGCAGACACUAAUUCUAGAAAAACUAGAGAUAAAUAUAUAGCGAGUUCUUUCAUCCUUGUAGUCACUGUGCUGACAACUUCCAAAGUCUCAUGAAGAGCUUAUUGUUUCCUAAAUUGUCCAUUAUGUUUGACAAUUGGCAGUAGUUCAACUUGAGGAUAUGUUGGCUUCUAGCCACUCUGGUAUCUUCAGUGCUUUAGUCUAGAUAUAUAUUGAACUCUUGCUAACAUCCUGUUCAGCUAGUUUGCUCGGAUAUGAGGUCGAAGUGGCCGGUGUGUAUCGUACUGCAGGAAAUCAGACAUUUGAUCCAGCGGAUGGGUGCAUCUCUUCACCAUAUAUUCCGUGAGGCCAAUUCGGUGGCGGACGCAUUGGCUUCUCUGCAAUUGGGAGGGCAGCAGUACUACAUCUCAGAUGCGGCUCUGCCUAUCAGGCCCAGAGGAGAGGCUCUUCUGGAUCGUCACGGAGUACCUCGGAUCCGUGAGGUGCUCACUAAGGCUUGAUUGUUUAUGUCCUCCCUUCAUAGAUCAUAUUUCGUACACUCCUUGUAAACAUUCUUUUUCUUAUCAAUAAAAUGAGACAAGUUGAAAAAAAAAAAAAGAAAAAAAAACUAACCAUUGACAGUUAAUUGCGUACUACGAAAGUAUACAACUAAUCUAUUUCUCUAUUGAAUCUUUCUUGUGGACCAAGAAUAAAAGCGUAGCUUGAUAAAGGCACUAUUAAACUUUGUACAACUAUAAAAUCUCGAAAGUUACCCAAAGUAUAAAUCAAACAACAUUGUUGUGAUUAUUAUUCUGCAUUUUCAUGAAGAGCAUGUCCGAACCUCAAACUUUUAACUAUUCUUGAUCACAGAUGAAACAGGAAGCUAAAAAACCAACUUUUUUUUUAGGGUGGAUCACUUAAAAAAUGGAAUGACAAUUGAUUUAGGGGUGCAAAGUUUAUUAUUUAUUGAAAGAUUUUCUUCAGAGCUCAGGCAACUUCAGCUGUCAGUAUUAUGAGGUCCAUUAAUUGUGGAUGAGAUACAACAUGUGGUAGUAGCUUGGUGGAAGAUUCCACUAACACAGUAACCUUGGAAAUUAGCUCUGGAAUGGGACCUGUCCCAGAAGUGUUUUUGCUGAUCUACUUGUAUCUAGUAUAGGCUUUGCUUUACUAUGUAAAUCUACAUUGCCCCCCCCCAAAACACACAAAACACCAAAAACGCCACCAAAAGAAAGGAUCAACUAAGCAAAUGCAUAUAUUCAUUUAGCCCAAUCCGCCAUAUUUUUUGUUUCAAGAAAGCUCCAAUGUGGUGGAGUACAACUGAACCACAUUCAAGAGUUCUAAGAGAACUUUCUAGUUUACAUUGGAUAUUAUGUGCACAUCAAAACUCCUUAAUCUCUAUUAACAAGAACAUGUUCACUAUCCAGGUUAGACACUCCAACAGGACUAGUAGCCUGCUUGCUUUACAGGUUUACAAUCAUAGCUGGUCUAUCCGCUUGAAAAUCAUUGAGAGCCUAGAUGAUCGUGAACCACACAGUAUAUCAAGAAAAAAAAAACACACACACACACACACAAUCACAGGUGCCUCUUUUUCCUUAGCACAAAAAAAAAUUCUGAUACAGAAAAAUUUAGAUGAGUUCGACAAAGAAAAAAGUGGAAUACAUCCCAACGUUCAAACACAUUUGCUUUAAAAACACUAAAGUUUUGGUUGACAUGAACAAGAUUUCAAGCACCUAAAUCAGUCUCAAGCAACUCAAUUGCAUUAAACAGGAAUCAGAUUUGGUGGAACCAGAUUUCAAGUGCCAUCAAGCAACUAAAUUGACAUCAAACAACCCAAUUGCAUUAAAAAUGAAGAGCAAACAAUUUAUUUAUACCUGACACAGAAGUUGCUUAUUUGCGCAAGUCUUUCAGCUGGUUAGCUAACUCAUCAUACAGGCUUCUUGUUUCUGUUUGUUGCUGUUGCAAGGUCUUAAUCAACUCUUGCUGAGCAGUGAAUUGUUGAGUUACUUCUGCAGCUCGUUUUUCUGCUUCAUCUGCUCUUUUUCGGCUGUCCUCAAUCUCAUGCCUCCAGCGUUCUACCUCAGCAGCUUGCUUCUUGGUUGCACUACGACCGCGGAUGUGUCCAGGUACGUAACCAAGUUCUUGCUCGCAUAUUUCUUUGCUAGUCAUUGAAGUUGUAGCCUGCAAUUCCCUCAUUUUGUCCUAGGCAAGUAAAAAAUAUGAUCAUUAUGUAGCUGGAAUGGAUGUCAAUAAUUUAAAAAUCCAUUAUCCAAGUGAAACAGCUCACCAAGGUCUCUUUUGCUUUGUCAUUUACCAGCCCCCCUGACUUCUUUGACUUUCGACUUAACUCAAACAUGACUAUCUCUGAAAGCUCGACAUCUUCUUUCCUUUUCUGUCCAAAUUUUCAAUUUUUUCAUUUUCAGUCAUAUGACAAAAAGGAUGUACAUGUACAACUGUUGGCUGGGUUUCAGAUUACCUUUUCCUCAACAACUCUUGCAAGCGAUUUUGUGCCAACAGUAGUGUAGCAGUCAUUUUUGGCACGAUUUUGCUUGUUACGUUCACUAAUUUUCUGCCACAAAUUAGUGAAAAUUUUAACUGACAAAGAUUAGCAAAUUUGUGAAGUGAAAUCUGAAAUUUAAUAAAAGGAUAGGUUAUUUUGACAAGCUAACCUUAAAUUCAUCAUUUUCAAAGUAGCUGACCAGCCACUUCCAAUCUUCUUCACUCACACCUUCAGGAACUUGCCUCAAUGCUUCUUGCCUUGAUUCAAAACUCUGGAAAUACUUGUGAAGCCGAUAUCGAUGGUUUCGAUAUUGUGUGUUUAACUGCCUAUUAAUAGCAGUUUUUGAGGUGAUGUGCUCUGGAAAUCGAAAGUCAUCCUACAAUAACAGUGCAAUCUACUUAAAACCAAGCAAAUCUAAAGCAGUAAAAUCUCUCAUACUUUCUGGAUGAAAUUAGAGUAUUAGCAGGACAACAAAUACCGUAACCGUGCUGUAUAUGCCUUCUCGGUCACCGGGAUUGAGAUGGGACCACUUUGGAACAUUAAGCCUAGCAGCCUUCCUAACAACACAACCCCCUUCUGUGAAAUGAAAGAUAACCACCGCUAAAUGUAUUAUAUAUAUAAACUAGAGAACUUUUAUCAUACAUUGUAAAAAAUUUUGGAUUUACCUUUAGUCUUUGCAAUUUUUACGAAACAAUGGCUUUCUCCAGUGGCUCCAAAAGUUUUAAUAACCAUUUCUUUUUAUUUUUUUGGUCCUAUGGGGGAAAGAAUAAACCAUUCUUUACAGCCAUAUAAACCCAAAAGGUCUAAAGAAAAAGCAAAAUUUCUGUUCGCUGGCAUUCUAACAUCUUGAUAACAAAAAUGAAAGAUAGGAGGCUUGGAUUGAGGACGGGUAAAAUCAUCUUGAAUUGUGCCUGGAACUCCAGGAAUAAUUGGAAAAGUCAUGCAUUUUUAAACACGUUAAUAUCAGGUUUAUGGGUUGAACUAGGUCUCUAGGAUUAUAACAAGGAUUAAUAUCUAUUUAAAUAUUACAGGUACAGAUAAGAACAUUUAUGAGUUAUCAGAGUUUGAAAAAGGUAAGAAAUUGAAAGAAGACUCCUUUCAAGAUUAAUCAAUCAAUUGACUCCAAAAUCCUCAUGAAUAAGAGUCAGCUUCUUCAAUGCAGAAUGAUCAGAGAUUACUCAACAGACCUAAAAGCUGCAAGGAAAAGACAGCACGUGCUUCAUUCAAUUCAAUCAACUCAGUUAUUUUAGACAGCAGAGUACCAGUUAUUAAUAGCUCUAGCAACAUUUUGGGUUCCCAAACAAUACGUCAAAACACUAAUAGGAAUUGUAACCAGAGUGAAGCAGACACCAAAUCUAACAAAGAAACACCAAUAUAAGGCACUGGAAUAAAUUCAACUACAGCAUCUGACUUAUCCAUGUAAUAAAAGACACAGGUGAUGAUCAAAUUUAAACAAAUGAUUGAUCUAUCAAUAUCUCUCCCCUCCAAAUGGAAAAAGCUAAUUAUGAAUGACAGGUAUCGCAUAUACUAUGUUAUGAACCUUGUGUAACAAAUUGCUAACUACUCGAAACAAAAUUUUUUACCGUUCGAAUCUGAACUUGAAUCUUCUAAUCAAAAUACAAUGCCAAACUCAGGAGGAUAAGCCUUGAUGGGUACCGACUACCAAGGUUGAAUCAAAAUUACUGCAUCUCUGAAGUCGGCGACACUAAAAUUCAGCAGAUCCAGGCGUUCGUGGGAAAGGUAUUGCAUCUCUUAUAUUAUCAAUACCAGUUGCAAAUUGCACUAACCUUUCAAAACCUAAGCCAAACCCAGCAUGAGGCACUGAAAAGCAAUUAAAGAACAAAACAGCAUGUUUAGUCAAGGUCAUUCAAAUUAACUCCACAAGGUACCCUGAAAACUAGCUUUCAAACUGAUUCCAUGCCAAGAGUGAAUGCAGCAUUUAAUAAGGCAGUGUAUUGGAACAUCAAUGAUAAAAAUUAGUAGCUGCAAGUUAUCAUCUGCCAUUUGAGACCAAGUCAAACCCCCCCCUUUUGGAAGAUUCACUAAUCACAAACGAAUAACAGGAGAAAAAGAACAACUAAAAAAUGUUGGCCUAAAUCAAUUACAACCCCCCCCCCGGGUGGCCUAAAUCCAUGAUUUCCUCAUCCGUACACAGAAAUUUCUCAAGAUACAAACUGAAAAUGCAACAUUUCAGAAGCCCAAAUUGCCUCGGAUAAUGGCAAGGAAAUGAAGCCUUUCGGGGGCAGGACAAAAGCCAUUGGAUAAUGAGCUAACAAAAAUAGGGGAAAAUUAAAAUGUAGGUUCGAAAAUGGCAAGGAAAUGAAGAACAAAGGGGGAAUACAGAUAUGAAAAUCUUAACUAUUACAAAAGAUUAACCAUUGUAUGACUAAACACACAUUGCACAACAACAUGUUAACGGCAAUUGAAACCCCAAAACAGUUUUCUGGCCAGUUCCCAAACGUGCAAAAUUCUAGUAAAGUGCAUGCUUGAUUACCAGAGAGAGAGAGAGAGAACCAGAGAGUAAAUUACAUUUAAAACAGCCAAAUAAAUUAGGCAAAUCAGUCAAGUUCUCUUCCCCUUAAGGAAGCAAUUAAAUGGCACGACAAAUUGUUUAAUUUCUCUUUCAUCCAACCAAAUUAAUGCAGUCAAAAAAUGUUCGCAUUUCAUAGCUCCUCAAAGAAAGCCGGUUCUGACCAUCCCUAACACUGUUCAUACUCCAGAUCGCAAGUGUUUCAGAGUAUUACCUUCCCCACUGCUAAUUAACAAUCUAGUUCAUAAAUUAGUCUUUACAAUAGAAGGCUGAGCAGCUUUUGAAAGCAAAAAAAAAAACACAUACCGCACAAUUAGCUGAAGAGGGGGUCGGAGAAAAGUCUAAGCUGAAGUCGCGGAACGAGGAGGGAGCUUGGAAGUGUUCUGACUUCGCUUCUUCGGCGAGCUUGACCUGAAGAUUGGCACUCGUCAAUGGUGCUUUAGAGGAGCAUUUUGCGGAAGCAGAAGGUGUUUGAGGUCCAGAGUUUUUCGGUGUUCACCAUAGAAAGGAAAGACUGAGAAUAAAAUUUGUCUAAGUGUUGGAAGAGAGAAGCGGCGAGACUUUUGUUUGUCUGUGAACAACCAAAAACGACGUCGUUUUGUAGAGAUUUCAGCCACCCGCCUCGCGCGUCUUUCAGAUUUCAGACUGGCGCUCUUUUUUUUUUGGAAUCUAAGCACGUCUUUGAGAUUCCAGGAUUCACGCCUUUAGCUUCAUACAUCUUUUUUCUUUUUUUUUUCCCUGGUCAAAUUUUUUUUUUCAGGUUUCUUUUUUCAUACUUAAUCUCUUUUGUUUUCCUUAAUCUCAUCUAUAAAUAUCAAAUAAAUUAUUUGAUAUUGGUUUCUUUUUUGUGCAUGUAUAUAUAUGUGUGCUUGUUUGUGUCUAUAUACAUCUUUUUGGGUUUGGACAACUCAAUAUACAAAUUAUUUAAGAAAUUACCUUACAAUAAAACUUACACAAUAAAACAUGUUUCAAAAAUUUAACAUGCAUAGAAUUGCUUAUAUACAGUAUAGCACUUCUUACUCAUGCUUAUCCUACUCUUUGUCUAUUACUUAGUUUUUAUAAUAAAUUAAAAGAAACAUGUAAUCAAAUAUUCUGUUAAAUGUGUUACAACUCUCAAUCUUAUUGCACGACAGAUAUUUUACUAAAUAAUUUUAAUUUUGUAUAUACCCAUUCCAUAUGAAAAUAUUUAUUACUUAUGAUGUAUUACACGUUAUACUAAUCUUUCACAGUGCUAACAUUAGACUACAAAUUAUAUUCAAUUAUACUUUUUCAAAUUAUUUCAGUUAUUGAUUUUUGGGGGUUGUUAUAAGUAAUAAUAAACAAUUCAUGAAAAAAAUUUUAUGCUCAGACAUGUCUAUUAUGUCAACUUAGCAAAAAUUACAAAUAUCUAAAACUAGUUUGUUAUUAUAUCAUUUGCAUUUUGCUAAUACAUAAUGAAUAGGGGCUAAAUUAUAAAAUUAGGGUGUCAUAUCUUCUGUGCUUUUGCUCAUAUAAAAGAAUUGGGGGCUAAAUAAUAAAAUUAGGGUGCCAUAGUAGAAUUAGUGAAAUUUGAUGAAAAUACUAUAGAAUUGCUUAUAUACAGUAUAGCACUUCUUACUCAUGCUAUCCUACUCUUUGUCUAUUACUUAGUUUUUAUAAUAAAUUAAAAGAAACAUGUAAUCAAAUAUUCUGUUAAAUGUGUUACAACUCUCAAUCUUAUUGCACGACAGAUAUUUUACUGAAUAAUUUUAAUUUCGUAUAUACCCAUUCCAUAUGAAAAUAAUUAUUACUUAUGAUGUAUUACACGUUAUACUAAUCUUUCACAGUGCUAACAUUAGACUACAAAUUAUAUUCAAUUACAUUUUUUCAAAUUAUUUCAGUUAUUGAUUUUUGGGGGUUGUUAUAAGUAAUAAUAAACAAUUCAUGAAAAAAUUUUUAUGCUCAGACAUGUCUAUUAUGUCAACUUAGCAAAAAUUACAAAUAUCUAAAACUAGUUUAUUAUUAUAUCAUUUACAUUUUGCUAAUACGUAAUGAAUAGGGGCUAAAUUAUAAAAUUAGGGUGUCAUAUCUUCAGUGCUUUUGCUAAUAUAAAAGAAUUGGGGGCUAAAAAAUAAAAUUAGGGUGUCAUAGUAGAAUUAGUGAAAGUUGAUGAAAAUACUGUAGUAUACAGUGAUGCAAAAAGUUGUCACAAAAUUGGAACCGGGUAGACUUUCAAUGACAACAAGUUAUGUUGUCACUGUAGAGAGAGCGUUUGUGACGACUUUACUUGAGUUGUCAUAAAAUCAUUUCCCGCGGCAUCAAAUGAGAUGCGCCCCAACUAUUUCGUGACGAGUUGAGAAUGACAACUUCCAAUGUUGUCACUGAUUAUGCUUGUGCUGUACUCAUCUGUGAUGACACCUAAUGUCGUCACUGAAUUAGGUUAUCUGUGACAAGAUUUUUGUUGUCACAUAAAUUUUUGUCACUGAAAAAUAUAUUUCUUGUAGUGAUGAACUUCAAUUUUGAACACUUUACACCUUAAACUCUUAAUUUCAAGCACUUUGUACCCUAAAUUCUUAAAUUUAUUUCAUUUAAUUUCAAUCAAUUAUUAUAUUGAUAAAAUUAAUGAGAUAAAGGGAGGUAAAAAUUAAUAGCAAUGUACUUUUGUUAUUAUAUUCUUAAAUUUGUUAUUGUAGUUUAUCAUGAUUUUCUUCAGGAAAAGACUUAAACCCACCUGCAAAGGCUUAAACCCCACCUGCACUAGGGUACAACAAACAAAGGUGAGUUGGAUAUACUUCCGUACGACUGCAGAACUCAUUUACACAAUGCGAUUUUGAUGCAGCAAUAAGAAAUUAUAUCAAACUUGAAAUCAGUCAUCCUUUGGGGCUCUAUAAAUACCAUCCUCCCUGUCAGUUACGGACACAUUCCUGCCUAGCUACUUUUAGUUUCAGCCAAACUACAUAUUCAUACCUAGCUGAACUGAAAUUAAACUUUCCAUGGCAUACCAGAGCGCCUACAAUAUGAAUUACCAGAUACUACUAUGCUUGAUACUCUUCUCCCUAGUCCUUCUCCUGCCACUGCCAUCCCAUUCUGCUGAUCCAAGCCCAUUGCAAGAUUUCUGCGUUGCAGAUCUUGAUUCCUCUUUAUACAUUAAUGGCUUUCCGUGCAAAAACC
rnacentral:lncRNA from 1 species